rnacentral:lncRNA from 1 species
GUUAAUCCAUCACCUAUAAUAUUUUGAGCAUUCAGAAACACACCAAGCGAAGCACAUUAGCAACAACCUAACAACAAUGGCUACCAAGAUAUUAUCCCUCCUUGCGCUUCUUGCGCUUUUUGCGAGCGCAACAAAUGCGUUCAUUAUUCCACAAUGCUCACUUGCUCCAAGUUCCAUUAUUACACAGUUCCUCCCACCAGUUACUUCAAUGGGCUUCGAACACCCAGCUGUGCAAGCCUAUAGGCUACAACAAGCAAUUGCGGCGAGCGUCUUACAACAACCAAUUUCCCAGUUGCAACAACAAUCCUUGGCACAUCUAACAAUACAAACCAUCGCAACGCAACAGCAACAACAAUUCCUACCAGCACUGAGCCACCUAGCCAUGGUGAACCCUGCCGCCUACUUGCAACAGCAGUUGCUUGCAUCAAACCCACUUGCUCUGGCAAACGUAGUUGCAAACCAGCCACAACAACAGCUGCAACAGUUUCUGCCAGCGCUCAGUCAACUAGCCAUGGUGAACCCUGCCGCCUACCUACAACAGCAACAACUGCUUUCAUCUAGCCCGCUCGCUGUGGCCAAUGCACCUACAUACCUGCAACAACAAUUGUUGCAACAGAUUGUACCAGCUCUGACUCAGCUAGUUGUGGCAAACCCUGCUGCCUACUUGCAACAGCUGCUUCCAUUCAACCAACUGACUAUGUCGAACUCUGCUGCGUACCUACAACAGCGACAACAGUUACUUAAUCCACUAGCAGUGGCUAACCCAUUGGUCGCUGCCUUCCUACAGCAGCAACAAUUGCUGCCAUACAACCAGUUCUCUUUGAUAAACCCUGUCUUGUCGAGGCAGCAACCCAUCGUUGGAGGUGCCAUCUUUUAGAUUACAUAUGAGAUGUACUCGAUAAUGGUGCCCUCAUUCCGGCAUGUGUUUCCUAGAAAUAAUCAAUAUAUUGAUUGAGAUUUAUCUCAAUAUAUUUCUGAACUAUGUUCAUCAUAUAAAUAAUUGAAAACAUCAAAUCGUAAUUAUAAACUCAUGCUUGGUCAAUACAUAGACAAUGCGAUAUUACUUCAACAUCCCAAUGAUGUCCUAGCCCAACCUCUUGAAUGUUACUGUUUUAAUGUGUGAGGGUAUAUUUAUAAGAUAGACGUGACUACUCGCGCUUUUUUUAGUACAUACAUAUAUGGUAUGUUGAUUUGAUUAGUGAUGGACACAUGCUUUGACCAUGAAUAUUCAAAUGAGGUGUAUUUGCACGAAGCAAAACAUAAUAUAAGUUUAGGAGUAGACUUAUAACUGUGUCCAAACAUGCUCACACAAAUUCAUACCACAUUAUAAUUUUUUGGUAAAUAUUCCACACGUAUUUUUUACAAGAACCCAAAUUUUGCAGAUAAAUGCAGCAUUGUAGACAUGUAUAAUUCUUUGAAGCCCCUGAACUUAACAGCACCAAGGUCAUUAAAUCAACUGGACCCUAUGAGUAACAAUUUCAAUAUUGCAAACACCAAAUUAUAGAACUUAUUGGCUGAAAAAUUAUGAGCAAUGUGAAGUUUAAAUUAUUAUACCAUAAAUAUAUCAAAGAAUUUUUUUUGAGGAACGUAAAAAUUGCAUGGAAUGGGCUGCCCAACGUGCUAGCUCACUUCUAUGCUAGGUAUCAUUACCAAAGAUGGGAAUGUUGCUAAUGAACGCCAAACCCACUCAUAUAAUAUUUAUAUUUGGGUUGUUUAGUUGUAAAAGUGAAGACCCAAGAUAAAAGUACCAAUUGUUCAAUGACAUUCGAUUAUUUUGUUCGGGGAGCACUUGGUGCGUCAUUUGGACUCAUAUCUUAGUCCAAUAGAUUGCAUUUUCCUUCAAUGUGUAGAAUCCGACAAAGUGCAUGUUCUAAAAUUGUAAAUCUAACUAAAUUAGAAAGCUUGUUACUAAUUUGAUGGUUUAUUAGGUGUACCUCAUAAAACUAGAACCAACAUAGCCUGCACUCACGUGUCAUAGAAAAUAGGAGUAUCCAAGCACAAUUUAUGUGAGCAUCCAUCACACAAAUUAUAUAUAGACUGAUAUAAUUAAUUCCUUCAAAAAUAAAAAAGGAAAAAAUAAAGUGUUUUUUUGAUAUUGCAGGAUAUCUCCUUUAACUAAUGAGGAGUACUAAAAAGAUGUUGCACUUUUGGGUGGCGAGAAUUCCUCAAUCAUAACUUUGACAUAAUUUUAAUCCGGAUCACAUAUAUCAUCAUAUCUUAAUUAUUAAAUUAAUAUGUGUCGGAGAGGGAAUUCUCCGGCCGGGUGGCGGAAUGCACCCGCCCUAAAUCCUAAGAUGAGGAAGGGGCUUAAGUGUUUUGCCUGUCUUGCUAAGCGAUCACCGAGCACACGAACACGCGAGGAUUUAGAGUGGUUCGGGCCGCCAGAGCGUAAUACCCUACUCCACUGUGUGUUGGAUUGCUGUGGAAGCUUGAGAGCUGAGAGUCUGAGUCCUUUGUCUGUGUUGCGUGCCCUCCCUUUUAUAGCUCAAGGGGGGCAUGUACAAGGACACUGAACCCCGACAUGUGGGCCUAGGGACAUAACAGAUGGAAUACUCGGAGCAACUAAUAUCAGUCACCUUGUGCAAUCAUCCUGUGCCCCGAUAUCCGCCGCUAGAGUAGCAUUGGCGUGCAGCAGAAGGUUCCCCGGCAUCGUACAAGUCAUGAUGGCCAUCGCACGCGCGCUGCGGUAUGGGCGUACUGCCCACUGUCUGAUUGGACAGGCACGUCGCCUGUAGAGUGGUCUGGUCGUCGCCUGUCAUCAGAGUGGACGGGGCACAUUAAAUGCCGAGACGGCACAUCGCCUGUCAGCAGGGCGGACAGGCGGCGCGUCCUCUCCGCAAUAAAUGUAGAGAUCACGUGGCUCAAAGGCCUUACGUCAGGCUCCACCCGCCGGCUUACGUCACGAGCAAUAGGCCGCGUGGCAGCAUUAGGUCCUCGCCUGAGCGGGGAGCGGAAGUACACCAGGCAAGACCCUGACAAGUGUCUACGCCGGACCCCUGUACGUCCUUGACUUAGGCCAGGGUAUUCUUCAUCCCGGGAUCUUGCUGUGGGUGGCUUGGACCUCACUUAGAGGGGUCCAGGUCCCAUCCAAGGGAACAUGGAGGUCCUGGGUCGUACCCGGAGGUCCGAGUCAUGUAUGCUGGGGUCCGACACUUUCCCAUGGGGGUCCGGAUUCACUGACGAUAUCACGGUAUGUGUUACCUUCUCUGGUCACUUGGCGGCCCCGGAGUCGCCCACGUGGUGGGGUCGGGCGUUGUUUACCGUGCGUCUAGAGAUAGACGUGCGGGUACCGCGCCUUCAUACUAUAGUAAGGGGUACUCCUGUUCCAGGGUAUCGACAAUAUGGUUCCAUCAUCGUAUUAUUAAUUCAAUCUAAUAUAACCAUCAGAUCUUAAUUAUUAAAUUAAUCUGGAGUGUACAUUAGAUUAUCAAACCAAAUCAACCCGACAUAACCAUCAAAUGUUCCGCUAUGCACCUUAAGCGCAUGGUCUAGGGAUUAAUCAUCCGGAAUAACCAUCCGAUCUUCUAGUAAGCAUAGUAAGUGUAUGGUUCACGACUUCAUCAUCCAGAAUAACCAUCAGAUUUUCCGGUGUGCACUGAAAGCAAAUGAUCCGCGGUUUUGGUAGGUGAAACGUUGUUAGGUGAAUGCGGAUGUUGGCUGUUGUUGCACGUGCGAACUGUUGUGUGGAAGCUGCUGGGUCCUCCUCUAUUGUGCGUGGCUUGUGGCGGGCUUGGACUACUCUCAUGGCUUCGGCGCUUGGAACUGCUCGUCUGUCCGGUCCUGCGUGCAUCUCUCUCUCCUGGCUGGAGGUGUGGUGGCCUGGCGGCUUCUCUGUGUUUUUCUUUUUAUGAUGACUUCUCGUGUUGGCUAGGGUUGGCGUUAGGGGCUCGGUCAGUUAUGCUCCCUCAGCUUUUAUAGGCAGCGCACCAUAGCAGGCAGAGCAGAGAUAAAGAUUCCAAUUGCAUCCAUCUACAAACAAGGCUCUCGGCGGAAGGGAUAAAAGCAUGCAUCGCAAUUACUGCUGCUCUGCUGCAACCUUGGCUCUCGUCAAUUGGAUGACCAAAAGAUGCCAACGUCUAAGAUCUUUUCUUUGUGCAGCUGCCUGUUUGUCACCAACACAAAAUUGUAGGUGCCUGUUUGUCACCAAUUAUCCUCUACCACAAAGAACUACAAUAGUGAUGGAGGAUCCGAUCCAGCACAGAUCCACUAUAAUGCAUAGUGGGUGAUGCAUGCCUAAUGGUGGUUGUUUAGUGUUAGUUUGGGCAUGUUGGAACUAAGCAAUUGUCGAUGCCAUACACUAGAAGUGAAGAAUGUUGUUAGCGUUAGGAGUAGAGGUGUCAAUGGGGACCGAUACCCGUUAAGCCAUGGAGAAUUUCUCUAUUAGAUUUAGGGUAUGGGAAGAUUUUAAUUUCCAUUUGCUGAAGUUAGGUAUACAUCUAUUUGAAUCAACAGUUACAGUUCAACAGAAACUCCUUCCGCUAUAGUUUGUUGCAUGUCCUACCUUUUUCCUAAACUAUUUUCCCUAAAUUGACAUACUCUCUAGAAAAUCUAUCCAAAUUUUGAAGAUCAAAUCUGUUCCAUUGAACUAUUCAUGACAUAUAUCUUGGUAUUGCUUUUUGUCAUCAGAAUAUAUUUUGAACUCAGUAAAAGUUAUACACGAUUUUUUUAGACAAUACUAAAGCAAGUUGUAAUCAAGAACACUUGAGGUGUGCGCCAAUUGCCACAUUUAGAUAUAAUCAUUAUAAUUUUGGUCAUCCUAUAUGUGUGCAUUCAUCUAUGCAUUCUAGGAUUUCAAUUAGUCUCAAUCUUGUAGUAUUUGUUCCUUCAUUGUCAAAUCACUUCUCAUCUAACUACUAUGCUUUUUUAACCAUCAGAACGUAACUCCAACAGUAUCCAUUUAUAAAGGUUUUGAUAGCAAACUUUACAUAUUCAUAUCAUGUUAAGGUUGUCACAUGUGUAAAGGUGAAGAGAUCAUGCAUGUCAUUCCACGUAGAUGAAAAGAAUUCCUAUAUAAAAUGACACCUUUUCUUGUAGGUAGUGGAAAGUAUCUUUCCAGCAAAGACCAUAUAAUCCAAUAAAGUUGAUAACUAAAUGUCGAAAUAGAGUAGAUGCCAUAUCAUUUAUACCUUAUCUGUUGUUUGGAAAAAAAGACUAAAUCCAAAAUAUAUAUGACAUCUCACUUGUAUAAAUAGCUCCCAAAUCAGCAGUUAACCAUCACCCAUAAUAUUUUGAACAUUUAGAAACACACACCUAGCGAAGCGCACUAGCAACGACCUAACAACAAUGGCUACCAAGAUAUUAGCCCUUCUUGCGCUUCUUGCCCUUUUUGUGAGCGCAACAAAUGCGUUCAUUAUUUCACAAUGCUCACUUGCUCCUAGUGCCAUUAUUCCACAAUUCCUCCCACCAGUUACUUCAAUGGGCUUCGAACACCCAGCUGUGCAUGCCUACAGGCUACAACAAGCGCUUGCGGCGAGCGUCUUACAACAACCAAUUGCCCAAUUACAGCAACAAUCCUUGGCACAUCUAACAAUACAAACCAUCGCAACGCAACAGCAACAACAGUUCCUACCAGCACUGAGCCACCUAGCCAUGGUGAACCCUGCCGCCUACUUGCAACAGCAACUGCUUGCAUCCAACCCACUUGCUCUGGCAAACGUAGUUGCACACCAGCAACAACAACAGCUGCAACAGUUUCUGCCAGCGCUCAGUCAACUAGCCAUGGUGAACCCUGCCGCCUACCUACAACAGCAACAACUGCUUUCAUCUACCCCGCUCGUUCUGGCCAAUGCACCUACAUACCUGCAACAACAAUUGUUGCAAUAGAAUCUACCAGCUCUGACUCAGCUAGCUAUGGCAAACCCUGCUGCCUACUUGCAACAGCUGCUUCCAUUCAACCAACUGAUUGUGUCGAACUCUGUUGCGUACCUACAACAACGACAAUAGUUACUUAAUCCACUAGCAGUGGCUACCCCAUUGGUCGCUGCCUUCCUACAGCAGCAACAAUUGCUGCCAUACAACCAGUUCUCUUUGAUGAACCCUGUCUUGUCGAGGCAGCAACCCAUCGUUGGAGGUGCCAUCUUUUAGAUUACAUAUGAGAUGUACUUGAUAAUGGCGCCCUCAUACCGGCAUGUGUUUCCUAGAAAUAAUCAAUAUAUUCAUUGAGAUUUAUCUCGAUAUAUUUCUGAACUAUGUUCAUUAUAUAAAUAAUUGAAAACAUCAAAUCAUAAUUAUAAACUCAUGCUUGGUCAAUACAUAGACAAUGCGAUAUUACUUCAACAUCCCAAUGAUGUCCUAGCCCAACCUCUUGAAUGUUACUGUUUUAAUGCGUGAGGGUAUAUUUAUAAGAUACACGUCACUAUUUGCGCUUUUUUUAGUACAUACAUAUUUUGUAUGUUGAUAUGAUAUAGUUAUGGACACAUGCUUUGACCAUGAAUAUUCAAAUCAGUUGUACUUGCACGAAGCAAAACAUAAUAUAAUUUAGGAGUACACUUAUAACUGUGUCCAAACAUGCUCACACAAAUUCAUACCACAUUAUAUUUUUUGGUAAAUAUUCCACACAUGUAUUUUUUACAAGAACCCAAAUUUUGCAGACAAAUGCAGCAUUAUAGACAUGUAGAAUUAUUUGAAGCCCGUGAACGUAACAACACCAAGGUCAUUAAAUCAACUGGACCCUAUGAGUAACAAUUUCGAUAUUGCAAACACCAAAUUAUAGAACUUAUUGGCUGAAAAAUUAUGAGCAAUGUGAAGUUUUAAUUAUUAUGCCAUAAAUAUAUCAAAUUAUUUUUUUGAGGAACGUAAAAAUUGCAUGGAAUGGGCUGCAUAACGUGCUAGCUCACUUCUAUGCUAGGUAGCAUUACCAAAGAUUGGAAUGUUGCUGAUGAACACCAAACCCACUCAAAUAAUAUUUAUAUUUGGGUUGUUUAGUUGUAAAAGUGAAGACCCAAGAUAAAAGUACCAAUUGUCCAAUGACAUUCGAUUAUUUUGUUCGGGGAGCACUUGGUGCGUCAUUUGGACUCGUAUCUUAGUCCAAUAGAUUGCAUUUUCCUUCAAUGUGUAGAAUCCGACAAAGUGCAUGUUCUAAAAUUGUAAAUCUAACUAAAUUAGAAAGCUUGUUACUAAUUUGAUGGUUAAUUAGGUGUAGCUCAUAAAACUAGAACCAACAUAGUUUGCACUCACAUGUUAUAGAAAAUAGGAGUAUCCAAGCACAAUUUGUGUGAGCAUCCAUGACACAAAUUAUAUAUAGACUGAUAUAAUUAAUUCCUUCAAAAAUAAAAAAAGGAAAAAAUAAAGUGUUUUUUGAUAAUGCAGGAUAUCUCCUUUAGCUAAUGAGGAGUACUAAAAAGAUGUUGCACUUUUGGGUGGCCAGAAUUCCUCAAUCAUAACUUUGACAUAAUUUUAAUCUGGAUCAUAUAUAUAGCAUCAUAUCUUAAUUAUUAAAUUAAUAUGGUUCCAUCAUCGUAUUAUUAAUUCAAUCCGAUAUAACCAUCAGAUCUUAAUUAUUAAAUUAAUCUGGAGCGUACAUUAGAUUAUCAAACCAAAUCAACCCGACAUAACCAUCGAAUGUUCCGCUAUGCACCUUAAGCGCAUGGUAUGGGGCUUAAUCAUCCGGAAUAACCAUCCAAUCUUCUGGUAAGCAUAGUAAGCGUAUGGUUCACGGCUUCGUCAUCCGGAAUAACCAUCAGAUUUUCUGGUGUGUACUGAAAGCAAAUGAUCCAGGGUUUUGGUACGUGAAACAUUGUUAGGUGAAUGCAGAUGCUGGCUACUGUUGCACAUGCGAACUGCUGUGUGGAAGCUGUUGGGUCCUCCUCUAUUAUGCGUGGCUUGUGGCGGGCUUGGACUGCUCUCAUGGCCUCACCAGCUGCAACGACCAGAGCGGUACCCCUUACUAAAGUAUGAAGACACGGAGCCUGUACGACGUUCUCUAGCCACACGGUGAACAACACCCAACCCCACCACAUGGGCGGCUUAGGGGGCACCACGUGGCGAGAAAAGAUGAUACAUCGCAGGAUGUAUCAGUUGGACCGGACCACCGCAAGAAAGCAUCGGACCCCUGUACGCAAAACCCGGAUCCCCGAUUAUGGUCCGGGACUCCCAAGCAAGCAUGUCGGGUCCCUUGGAUGGGGUCCAGAUCCCUCCGAGUAAGGUCCGGGCCACAACGAGGUCCCAUAACAGGGGAGACCCUGGCAUAAGCAAGGGUCCGAUACUGACACGUGUCCAGGCCUUAUCCUGUGCGCUUGCGCUCCCCGCUCAGGCGGAGACCCGAUGCUGCCACGUGGCUUGUUGCCCAUGACAUAAGCCAGCGGGCGGAGCCUGACGUAAGGCCUCUAGGCCGCGCGGUCUCUGCAUUUAUUGAGGAGAGGACGCGCCGCCUGUCCACCCUGCUGACAGGCAAAGUGCCCCCUCAGCAUUUAAUGCGUCCUGUCCACUCCGCAGGCAGGAGGCGCCAGGGCCAUCUUGCAGACGGUGCACCUGUCCAGUCCAUUGUCAAACAGUGCGCCCGUGCUGCGCGGCGCACUAUGCUCAUCAUCCCUUAUACGAGAAGCUUCCCCUGCACGCCGAUGCUACGCAGAUCUCGGAUGUCAGGGUGCAAGAAGAUUGCUCCAGCAACAAACAUUAGUAGCUCCAAGUACUACAUCCGUUAUGUUCCUGUGCCCACAUGUAGGGGCUCAGUGCUCUUGUACAUGCCCCCCUUAGCUAUAAAAGGGGAGGCAUGCAACGUUACGGAGGGGCUCUCUUGGACAAAAAACUGAGACUCUCAGCUCUCAAGCCUCCACAGCAAUCCAACACACACUGGAGUAGGGUAUUACACUCCGGCGGCCCGAACCACUCUAAAUCCUCACGUGUUCGUGUGCUCGGUGAUCGCUUAGCAAGACAGGUAAAACGCUUAAGCCCCUUCCUCAUCUUAGGAUUUAGGGCGGGUGCAUUCCACCACCCAGCCAGAGAAUUCCCUCUCCGACAUUUGGCACGCCAGGUAGGGGCCUAGGCAUUAGGUUUUUGCUUGUUUCUGUCACACCCUGGUUUCGGGUCACCAAGACCCGGGCGCGAACAUAAUCACCAGGUGUGCUGGGACCAAGUCUCACACAUAUGAUGAAUCAUGGCACAGGAUCGAAUGUCACAUCUUUACUACAUAACAGGAGUUUUAUACAAAAUAAAUAAUUACAUUAUAAGGAGACAACGGUCCAGCAACCCAAAGUUGACUGGCAGGCGACGGCCUAGACCUCUCACGAACUCGUCACAGCAUCCUCCAAGCGCCUCAUCCUGCGGUACCUGUUCUUGACCUGUGGGGGGGUGUGAGACAGCAAGAGUGAGCUCACAUACGUUCAUCGCUCAACAAGUUGUGGGGAAUAAUGUGCAUGAACUCGCCAAAGGUGGGAGCUCAUGUGAAGUGUAAGGCUUACCAAAGAGGAUGGUUAGAGCUGAGCAUUGCUUUUAAAGUUGGUCAAAAUUUUAUUAGCAGUUACUAAGUAUAAGUAAAUACCAACCCAAUUAAGUAGUAGAACAACAGUAACAACAUCACCUGCGAUGCAAUGCAUAUGACAAAUUGAAUUUAGUUCCAUAAAUUAAUCAUGUGAGUGUCCGAGCUGCUCAUGACCGUGAGCACGGCUAGUAUACCAGUUUUACACUCUGCAGAGGUUGCGCAUCUUUACCCACAAGUCAUGUUACCCAUCUGCCAAGAGACGGCCAAUCCCAUACACCUCUACCGAGGAGGCGAGGCAGGGUAAUACUACGAGGCCUUUACAAAGUUCCACUAGCUUCAGAAAACCCGCUACAGUUUAUAGGAAGCUCCAGUGCAGGAGUCCCUCGACUGACCACCAUCGCAGCAAAAUCAACCAAGGACCUCCCUACACUGACCACUCCCCUACCGCCCUUGCCCCUUUCAGGUAAGGUAAUCAUCCACUAGCUUUCCUAGUUAAUCAGCCAAGGGCGUCCAUAAUCCCUUGUGGUAGCACUGUUUUCCCGGGUGGUUCUCCAUGUUCCCAUUAACAUAAUGAUCUUAUCAUGAACAGUAAAUAAUAAACAAAUAAUAAAAGUAUAAUCAUGAAUAGUGUAUCUCCAUACCCAAAACCACAAUAAGCAAUAGCAAGUACUACCCAAGAAUUCAGUGGUAAACAAGGUAUAAAGAUAGUCAAAAUCUAGGGUAACCUAUUGGGUCCCAUCAAAAUUAACCUAUGCAGAUCAUUAUGAUUAAUAAGAACAUGACUGGGUAAAAAGAAGUGAUCAAGGGCACAACUUGCCUGGGACUUGAGAUUCCAGGUACCAACUUGCUCUUCAGGUGACACGUGUCCUCACUGCUAAACGUAGCAAUACAGACAAACAUGUAUAUGAAAAAUUAACAUCACACCAAACAUAAAAAUAAACUGCGUAAUAAUGAUCUACGCGUCGCUACGAGAUCGCAGAAAUAAGAAACACUAAAUUCAGAGCUACGAUUAUUGAGUUAUGAGUUUCCAAAAUUAUUUUAGUGUUUAGAAUAGAUUAAUCCAAAUGAACAAUUUUAAUUCAUGUUUCAUGGCUAAACAGUGUUACUAGUUGAUAGAAAAUAUUGAAACAAAAUUAAUGCAACUGGAACGGGUUAAAAAGGAGUUAAAAUGGAUUUAAUAUGAAUCAAGCAAGUUUCUUGGAUUAUUUUUAUAACAAAGAUCAUUAAUAAAACUAUUUCAUAAACUUUCUGGGAUGGGGCCACUAUUUCUCAUAAGCACAGGGUUAAAUACGCAAAUAAAAGGACCCGGUUAGAAUUAUUUUUGAACCAGCAUGGAUGGCGGGUUAGUUUCUAGUAAGCGCAGGGGCUUAUUAGCAAAAGGGGCGGGCCGAAGGGGUAUCACCCAGUAUCAGCCGUAGGAUAUGAUAUAUGUGGCUCGGAUUAGAUUAGAGCUUCAUCAAAACAGUAUGCGCUAUAGACCGUCGAUCCCGAGACCGACGGUUAGGAUUUUCAUGACGCCACAUCUCACACCAACCGCUCGAUUAGAUCAGACGGUACAGAUAUUCCUGGCCACAGCCUUAUCCACCACCCAAUCGUAGCCGCACGCCAACAAUCCAACGGUUCCAGUGCUUCACAUACCACUGUCUUCACCGGCAGCGGCGCCAGAGCGCAUGCCACGGCGGCGGACAACACCGGAGAGCACCCAAACCUCGCUGAGGGCCCCAAACGAUAUUUCGAGCAGCGUACACAUUCCAGGGAAAGCUACGAAUCUAAAGGGAGAGUUCUCACCAGGAUUUGAGGUCGUGACGUGCCCGGUCGCUGAUGUCGAGCGGAUCCAAGGUGGAGCCCAAUUCCGGUGAGCAAUCACAGGUACACCGGCCAACUCCCCCAUCCGGACAAGUUACCAACUCGUGCGAGUAGCACCUGGUGAUCUGCCCCGGCCAGGGAUUCAACUCACGACGGUGUUUCACAGGUUCCGCGCGCGGCGGCACUUACCCAAGCCCCACGGCGACAACGCUCGAGCUUCAAUGGAGCAGGAGAGAGUUGCGGCGAGGUCCGCAUUUAUACGCAUGGGAAGGUGUCCGUCUCCCAACUACCACGCGAGAUCGCCGGAGGAUCCCAUUACCCGGUCGGCGAAGACCACGGAGGGGAUUUGUGCGGCGGACGCGGGGCUUCGUUGCGAUCCUAGGAGAUUGAUUCGACAAAUGGGACCCACCAGUCGGUGGCUUGGUGACAAGCGCGCGUGGCAAAAGAGACUGGUUCGCGGGCCCCGCAUUUCAGAGACUGAGCGUGGCGGGGAAAAUUGGCAGGAAGGCCGAGGGUGCGCGCUUUAGUGGGCCGAGGGAGGCCGGAGCUGGGCCGAGCCAGGGAGGAAAUCAGACCAUGUGCGUUUUCUACUUUUGUUUUAUUUUUCUUUUAUAAUUUUUGUUUUGUUUCCAAAUCAAAAAUUCAAACUAAAUUCGAAUUCUGGUCUUAAUUUUCAGGUUUCAAACAUCAAACCAAAUUCUAAUUCUUCUAUUACUUGCACUGAAAUUAUUUAUUUAUUAUUCUUAUUUAUUAUUCUCCCUAUUGUUUAAAUAUGGAAGAAAGGAAUGGCUUUAUUAAAAUUUCCUUUCUCCCCUUUGUUUUAUAAUUUUUUUGAGGUCAAUUUAAAUUAUGAUUCCUUGAUUCAAAUAAGAUGCAUCACAGAAAUAACAUCAGCAUGAGGUACACAUUUCUUUAUUUAUUUAUUUGUUCUUUACAUAAUUUAAUGCCAUUAGUUGAGUAUGUAGAGAAAAAAAUAAAAAUAAAAAUCAAGGGAUCCCCAAAACACCCACUUAUUUGUUUAUCUAUUCAUUUUAUUAUUAUUUUGGAAAUAUAUUCAUUUUGGGAGUAGUAACUUCCAAAUUAUGAAUAUCUUUAAGGAAAGGUGUUUUGAUUUAAAACCUUUGGGGAAUUUUUCCUUAUUUUCACAAAAUUGAUCUUUAGGGUGUUACAGUUUCCUCGCUCAGCAUGAUGGUGCAAAUCGUGGAGCACCGCGCCAAGACUUCAACGGAUUUCCUGGUGAAGAAAGAAGCUGUUUCUUCCACGCCACAGGUUCCCAACCGCCCAGUGUCGGGCACUGCUGCUGUGCACGCUGCACGGCAGCAUACGGCUGCACAGACAUCCCGGACUCCGUCGAGGGCGGCUCCGGGAGCAUUGUUAGCAGCCAGGGAAUUGCUGCGUCACCCUCCAAGCUCCACGGCCUCACCGGGGGCCAUGAAGCAGUGGCAGGAUGACGUCAACCGACAGCUCGACAUGGCACAUUCUACCUCGACCAGGUCGAGGCCACAGUCAUCCCAUCGCCAAUAUGAGGCGUCGACGUCUAUGCGCUCACCCUCAGUGAGGGGUGCACAGACCAACGACCUCUGGGUAGAGCUCAACCACAGGCGUGCGGGAGAGGACGCCCGGGUCUCUUUAGAGAGGGCGUGCGAGCGCCGACAAAACAUCGAGGGUCGCAACCUCGAUCAAGACUUCGCUGAGGUAGUACCACAGGCCCCAAUGGGCACCCGGUCCCAAGCGGGUGUCCCCUUGGCCGGCGUAGGUUGCGCCGCUCUCGUGGAUCAUCUCCGCGCGGCAUCAUGGCCAUCAAAGUUUCGGCCACACCUGCCGGAAAAGUACGAUGGUACGUCAAACCCGUCGGAAUUCCUGCAGGUGUACGUCACCGCUAUCACAGCAGCAGGUGGAAACACCGCAAUGAUGGCGACAUAUUUUCAUGUCGCCUUAUCUGGACCUGCUCGGACUUGGCUCAUGAACCUCUCCCCAGGGUCAAUCUACUCCUGGGAAGAACUCUACGCUCGGUUCGUUGCGAACUUCGCCAGCGCUUACCAGCAACACGGUGUGGAGGCCCACCUCCACGCAGUGAGGCAGGAGCCCAGGGAGACUCUCCGGAUGUUCAUCUCCCGCUUCACCAAGGUGCAAGGUACUAUACCUCGCAUUUCCGAUGCUUCCAUCAUCACGGCCUUCCGCCAGGGAGUACGUGAUGAGAAAAUGUUGGAGAAGUUGGCCACGCAUGACGUGGAGAUUGUCCCCACACUCCUCGCUCUGGCCGACAAAUGCGCCAGAGCCGCCGAGGGUCGUGCAUGGCACUUGGCCCCACAGACUGGGGCUACCCAAUCGGGUGGCUCGGGUGCCAUCCCCCGGGACGGUAAGAAGAAAGAGAAGAAGGACCGCGACCACCAGAAGCCGCGGUCCACUGCGCUGGUCGUUGCAGUUGGGACUGGGGGCCGAGGCGACCGCAACAAACGCCCACGACCACAGAGGGGUAACAGCGGCUCAUGCCCUGUGCACCCCAACGGUCGCCACAACACCGUGGAGUGUCGCGAGAUCAUCGACCUCGCAAAACGCGUCAGCGAGCGGCACGAGUAGUCUUCUAAAGACGGCUCCCCACCUCGUCGCCGACCUGGCAAGGAAAGGGUCGACGACGGCGAGGUGGCCACGGCUGAACGGGACCUCGGGUAUCAGUCACUCGAGGGGGACCUGAAGGAUGUCUUCGUCGGAGACUCCCACUCCGGUGGUGACAACUAGAUGGACCCCCAGAUGGACCCCGUGCUCCCCGGUCUACGGGGCCGAAGCCUGCCUUCCUCCGGAAACCCUUCUGGACUCCCCACGGGUCCAGGCUUCUGACAAGUCCAUACAGAAAUGGCUACAGCACGAGGACGAGGACUCCCUCAUCAAACGCAGAUGGGAACCCAGGGUCGAGACCUAGUCCUACGGCAAGUACCAAACCAAGAAGGGCUCCGAAACUCUCCCCCAGCUGGGAAGGACCCUUCAAGGUGACGGGAAUACGCUGACCCGGGGGUGACUAUCUUGUUAUGACUGAAGGAGUGCCUCUUCCUGGUCACUGGAGCAUCUCUGUAAGUUCUAUCCAUAGGAGCAAGUCUGAGGGUCGAGUUUUUCUCCCUUUUGUAACUAGGUAACGCAUACGUGUACGCCAACCCGGUGAGGUCCGCCCUCAUAAGCCCGGCCUGUUGGUCUGCACCCAUGCAUGACAAGUUAUAAAGAAAAGAUUUACCCCCUCAGAUGUGCCUCUAUGAUAGUUUUAUCCUACUGCUCCAUGGUCUUACCUUGUAGUUUUCCGGAUCUUGUUUUAUCUAACCCACCCAAAUAGUUCCCUUUCCAUCGAACAUAAUGACAUCCGAAUUGAACAGCCAGGCUUGCAGUUUAGGACCUCUCUGCGAAAGAAGGAGGGCCCGAUAGCCUGUGGGCUGGUUCUAAAGAAUGGGAGCCCAUUCCAUGGGGUGGUCCGGAGCCUGUGUGGCCGAUUAGCCUGGUCCCGUACCCGAAAGCCUGCACACUCCACCACUCCGUGACGGGUACCCUAGUAUUUGGAGCUAUAAGUCCUAUGGGUCCGGCAACCUGGGGUCCGAAACUAGAGAAUGGACACUUGUCUCCUAGGGUGGUUCGGAGCCCGUGUAGUCGCUCAGCCUGGUUCCGUACCAUGGGCCCGCAUGAUCCACCACUCUGCGAUGGGUGUCCUAGUACCUAGAACCACCAUCCAGGGGGUCCGGACGCACAACUUGGCCUCCCAGACUAGACCCUGCAAGUCCCGAGCAUGUAUCAAAGAAUGGCUAGUGUCAGAUGGCAGGUCCUGUGGGUGUACUACUAAUGCUCCCUAGUCGAAGCUGUGUGCAGGCCCAGGUCCCAGUCGAGGCUACCUCCUGGGGGCCAUUGCCAAAUCUUUCUUAGGUAUGCUGGUCUGCAACCUCGACAAAUCGAGCCUACAUCCUAGGGGGGCAGGUACCAAGGAGGAAUUGGUUACACCACACACAAUAGGGACAAGUGGUACACAGAUAAGUGCUAAUACUGCUUGAUAAAUAGUACUCGAAAGUACCUUAGGAAAAGCAAAAGUAUUACAUCCGCUUUCAAGCGGAGUCCUAGCUCCAUCUCUACUCUGCAGGAAUGGACUACUCUGCACCAGCAGGGUCGCGUUGGAAGCUAGCUCUGGGCAGCCUCACCAACGGCGGCGACCACCUCUACUCCAAGCGGCUCGCCAGCGGAGGCGGCCACCUCUGCACCAACGGCUCGCCAGCGGCGGUGGCCACCUUUGCACCGGUGGCUUGCCGGCGACGGUGGCCACCUCAGCGCGUGCGAAGAGGUCCUCGCCCCCGUCCUCCUACGGGGGUGAGGACAAGACCAUCCAAGAACGCGGCCACCACCUCCACAGCGUAUGACAUCUUGUACAACCCCCCAGGCAGCGUCGGAGCAGUGCGGCCAGCGGCGCAGGGGACACCACGGAUGCGGUGGACCUGCGCACGACGCGACCGUCGCCCGUGCGGUGGACGGAAAGCCAUGCCCCGCUUGGCGGUGGGAGGCAGCGUUGGAGGCGGCACCAAAACCAUCAAAGCCAAAGAGAUGGAGCCGCAGCACGGCUCGCUUCCCACCCCAAAGAGUUGGGGGUGCGUGGGAUGGAGCCGUGGCUCAACCCGCUGUCCACCUUCACGAGGCUGGUGAUCAUCCUUCCCUCCGAAUGCUAGAGGAAGAAGCGGGAAGGAGCGUCGCCUCCACGGACAUCCCGCGGAGGUAGGCGACGAUGGCUGCCUGAAGGAUGAAGCAGGACACCACAGGUAGAGGCUGGGGGCUAAGCCCCUCCAGCAGCUGCACGAAGAAAGAUGGGAUCGGCAGAGCCAACCCGCUGGGGAGUUUGGAAACAAAGAACACAAACUCUUUGACAGCAAGGUCGCCGAGAGGAGAGACACCAGCACAAGUCCUCCCGGCAAAUGCCAGCACACCCCAUCCGAGCGGGUUGCGCGCCAAGUUGAGUGCCACCUCGGGCUGGAAGCGCUCGCAAGGGUCUAGCAAGGCCAUGGUGACUACGGCAACGCGAAGCAGAGACCUUGAAGGAAAAGGGGCACGGAGAGCUCGGAGGCGAAGGGACGCCGUGAGAGGGAGAGAAGCAAGGCAUGGCUGCUAUUCGAGGGAUGAACCCCUCUUUAAAGGCAGGCUCCCCUGCUCCCGCCUCGAAGCGCCGUGAGAAGCCUCCCCCAAUGCACACCGAGGUAUCCAUCCCAUGACACGGGGGCCCAGUCCCACAAGUCAUAUAGCUGGCGCGCUGGCCUUCGAGUGCGAAGAAGGCGAACCGCCGCACAGGAAGCGUGCUACCGCCCCGCGGUAGUACGCCUCCUUCAUCUUCACUACGACCAACGGUCAGGAAGGCGAACCACAGCACAAGGAGCAUGCUACCGCCCCGCGGUAGUGCGCCCCCUCGUCUUUGCUGCAACCUGCGGUCCAACCUCUGGCAUGGGGGCCCAGGCCCACAUGUCACGCACCCGGCGUGCUGGUUUCUGGGUGCAGAGAAGUCGCACCGCCACUCGCACCAAUACCGCGUCUCCUCAGGGCCGUCGCAGAAGACUGAGAAGAUAAAUUUUCAAAACCAAUGCAGCAACUCGAGGCACCCCGUGCAUGGCCCAACAAAGACAUUAAGUGCGGAGGUCACGGGUCAGCCAGCCGCAGGGACAGGCAUGGCAGUCGGCGUGACCAUGGGCGGACCGGCAGUAAUUGCAUCAACGGGCGCGCAGGGGCAGCGAGCCAAUCACCAAUAAAACUUUGGCCCCACCUGCAGGCCCGUAUCCUCCCCUGAGGCGGGCCCAGGGGCCACUGUCGGUACCCUGAAUCAGGAGUACCCCUUACUGAAGUAUGAAGACACGGAGCCCGUACGAUGUUCUCUAGUCGCACGAUGAACAAUACCCGACCCCACCACGUGGGCGGCUCGGGGGCACCACGUGGUGAGAAAAGAUGAUACAUCCCAGGAUGUAUAAGUUGGACCGGACCACCGCAAGAAAGCACCGAACCCCUGUACGCACAACCCGGACCCUCGAUUACGUCCCGGGACUCCCAAGCAAGCAUGUCGGAUCCCUUGGAUGGGGUCCAGAUCCCUCUGAGUAAGGUUCGGGCCACAACGAGGUCCCAGAACAGGGGAGACCCUGGCAUAAGCAAGGGUCUGGUACUGACACGUGUCCAGGCCUUAUCCUGUGCGCUUGCGCUCCCUGCUCAAGCGGAGACCCGAUGCUGCCACGUGGCUUGUUGUCCGUGACAUAAGCCAGCGGGUGGAGCCUGACGUAAGGCCUCUAGGCCGCGCGGUCUCUGCAUUUAUUGCGGAGAGGACGCACCGCCUGUCCACCCUGCUGACAGGCGAUGUGCCCCCUCAGCAUUUAAUGCAUCCUGUCCACUCCGCUGGCAGGCGGCGCUAGGGUCAUCUUGCAGACAGCGCACCUGUCCAGUCCAUUGUCAAACAGUGCGCCCAUGCUGUGCGGCGCACUGUGCUCAUCAUCCCUUAUACGAUAAGCUUCUCCUGCAUGCCGAUGCUACACAGAUCUCGGAUGUCAGGGCGCAAGAAGAUUGCUCCAACAGCAAACAUUAGUAGCUCCAAGUACUACAUCCGUUAUGUUCCUGGGCCCACAUGUCGGGGCUCAGUACCCUUGUACAUGCCCCCUUAGCUAUAAAAGGGGAGGCAUGCAACUUUACGGAGGGGCUCUCUUAGACAAAAAACUGAGACUCUCACCUCUCAAGCCUCCACAGCAAUCCAACACACAGUGGAGUAGGGUAUUACGCUCCGACGGCCCGAACCACUCUAAAUCCUCGCGUGUUCGUGUGCUCGGUGUUCGUGUCCUACCUUUUUCAUAAACUAGUUUUCCCUAAAUUGACAUACUAUAUACAAAAUCUAUCCAAAUUUUGAAGAUCAAAUUUGUUCCAUUUAAUUAUUCAUGACUUAUAUCUUGGUAUUGCUUUUUUGUCAUCAGAAUAUAUUUUGAACACAGUAAAAGUUAUACACGAUUUUUUUAGACAAUACUAAAGUAAGUUGUAAUCAAGAACACUUGACGUGUGAACCAAUUGCCACUUUUAGAUAUAAUCAUUGUAAUUUUGGUCAUCCUAUGUGUGUGCAUUCAUCUAUGCAUUCUAGGAUUUCAAUUAGUCUCAAUCUUGUAGUAUUUGUUCCUUGAUUGUCAAAUCACUUCUCAUCUAACUACUAUGCUUGUUUAACCAUCAGAACAUAACUACAACAAAAUCCAUUUAUAAAGGUUUUGAUAGCAAACUUUACAUAUUCAUAUCAUGUUAAGGUUGUCACAUGUUUAAAGGUGAAGAGAUCAUGCAUGUCAUUCCACGUAGAUGAAAAGAAUUCCUAUAUAAAAUGACACAUUUUCUUGUAGGUAGUGGAAAGUAUCUUUCCAGCAAAGACUAUAAUCCGAUAAAGUUGAUAACUAAAUGUCGAAAAAGAGUAGAUGCCAUAUCAUCUAUACCUUAUCUGUUGUUUGGAAAAAAAGACUAACUACAAAAAAUAUAUAUGAGAUCUCACUUGUAUAAAUAGCUCCCAAAUCAGUAGUUAACCAUCACCCAUAAUAUUUUGAACAUUCAGAAACACACCUAGCGAAGCGCACUAGCAACGACAUAACAACAAUGGCUACUAAGAUAUUAUCCCUCCUUGCGCUUCUUGCCCUUUUUGUUAGCGCAACAAAUGCGUUCAUUAUUCCACAAUGCUCACUUGCUCCUAGUGCCAUUAUUCCACAGUUCCUCCCACCAGUUAGUUCAAUGGGCUUCGAACAUCCAGCUGUGCAAGCCUACAGGCUACAACAAGCGCUUGCGGCGAGCGUCUUACAACAACCAAUUGCCCAAUUACAACAACAAUCCUUGGCACAUCUAACAAUACAAACCAUCGCAAUGCAACAGCAACAGCAACAACAGUUCCUACUAGCACUGAGCCACCUAGCCAUGGUGAACCCUGGCGCCGACUUGUAACAACAACUGCUUGCAUCCAACCCACUUGCUCUGGCAAACGCAGUUGCAAACCAGCAACAACAACAGCUGCAACAGUUUCUGCCAGCGCUCAGUCAACUAGCCAUGGUGAACCCUGCCGCCGACCUACAACAGCAACAACUGCUUUCAUCUAGCUCGCUCGCUGUGGCCAAUGCACCUACAUACCUGCAACAACAAUUGUUGCAACAGAUUGUACCAGCUCUGACUCAGCUAGCUGUGGCAAACCCUGCUGCCUACUUGCAACAGCUGCUUCCAUUCAACCAACUGACUGUGUCGAACUCUGCUGCGUACCUACAACAGCGACAGCAGUUACUUAAUCCACUGGCAGUGGCUAACCCAUUGGUCGUUGCCGUCCUACAGCAGCAACAUUUGCUGCCAUACAACCAGUUCUCUUUGAUGAACCCUGUCUUGUCGAGGCAGCAACCCAUCGUUGGAGGUGCCAUCUUUUAGAUUACAUAUGAGAUGUACUCGAUAAUGGUGCCCUCAUACCGGCAUGUGUUUUCUAGAAAUAAUCAAUAUAUUGAUUGAGAUUUAUCUCGAUAUAUUUCUCAACUAUGUUCAUCAUAUAAAUAAUUGAAAACAUCAAAUCGUAAUUAUAAACUCAUCCUUGGUCAAUACAUAGACAAUACGAUAUUACUUCAACAUCCCAAUGAUGUCAUAGCCCAACCUCUUGAAUGUUACUGUUUUAAUGUGUGAGGGUAUAUUUAUAAGAUUGACGUGACUAUUUGUGCUUUUUUUGAGUACAUACAUAUAUGGUAUGUUGAUUUGAUAUAGUGAUGGACACAUGCUUUGACCAUGAAUAUUCAAAUCAGUUGUACUUGCACGAAGCAAAACAUAAUAUAAGUUUAGGAGUAGACUUAUAACUAUGUCCAAACAUGCUCACACAAAUUCAUACCACAUUAUAAUUUUUUGGUAAAUAUUCCACACAUGUAUGUUUUAUAAGAACCCAAAUUUUGCAGACAAAUGCUGAAUUGUAGACAUGUAGAAUUCUUUGAAGCUCGUGAACUUAACAACACCAAGGUCAUUAAAUCAACUCGACCCUAUGAGUAACAAUUUCGAUAUUGCAAACACCAAAUUAUAGAACUUAUUGGCUGAAAAAUUAUGAGCAAUGUGAAGUUUAAAUUAUUAUACCAUAAAUAUAUCAAAGAAUUUUUUUGAGGAACGUAAAAAUUGCAUGGAAUGGGCUGCCCAACGUGCUAGCUCACUUCUAUGCUAGGUAGCAUUACCAAAGAUGGGAAUGUUGCUGAUGAACGCAAAACCCACUCAAAUCAUAUAUAUAUUUGGGAUGUUUAGUUGUAAAAGUGAAGACCUAAGAUAAAAGUACCAAUUGUCCAAUGACAUUCAAUUAUUUUGUUCGGGGAGCACUUUGUGUGUCAUUUGGACUCGUAUCUUAGUCCAAUAGAUUGCAUUUUCCUUCAAUGUGUAGAAUCCGACAAAGUGCUUGUUCCAAAAUUGUAAAUCUAACUAAAUUAUAAAGCUUGUUACUAAUUUGAUGGUUUAUUAGGUGUAGCUCAUAAAACUAGAACCAACAUAGCCUGCACUCACAUGUCAUAGAAAAUAGGAGUAUCCAAGCACAAUUUGUGUGAGCAUACAUGACACAAAUUAUAUAUAGACUGAUAUAAUUAAUUCCUUGAAAAAAGAAAAAGGAAACAAUAAAAUGUUUUUUGAUAUUGCAGGAUAUCUCCUUUAGCUAAUGAGGAGUACUAAAAAGAUGUUGCACUUUUGGGUGGCGAGAAUUCGUCAAUCAUAACUUUGACAUAAUUUUAAUCCGGAUCACAUAUAUAUCAUCAUAUAUUAAUUAUUAAAUUAAUAUGGUUCCAUCAUCGUAUUAUUAAUUCAAUCCGAUAUAACCAUCAGAUCUUAAUUAUUAAAUUAAUCUGGAGCGUACAUUAUAUUAUCAAACCAAAUCAACCCGACAUAACCAUCUAAUGUUCCGCUAUGCACAAUAAGCGCAUGGUCUGGGGCUUAAUCAUCCGGAAUAACCAUCCGAUCUUCUGGUAAGCAUAGUAAGCGUAUGGUUCACGACUUUGUCAUUCGGAAUAACCAUUAGAUUUUCCGGUAUGCACUGAAAGCAAAUGAUCCGGGGUUUUGGUAGGUGUAACGUUGUUAGGUGAAUGCGUAUGUUGGCUGCUGUUGCACGUGCGAACUGCUGUGUGGAAGCUGCUGGGUCCUCCUCUAUUAUGUGUGGCUUGUGGCGGGCUUGGACUGCUCUCAUGGCUUCGUCACUUGGAACUGCUCGUCCGUCCGGUCCUGCGUGCAUCUCUCUCUCCUAGCUGGAGGCGUGGUGGCCUGGUGGUUUCUCUGUGUUUUUCUUUUUACGACGGCUUCUCUUGUUGGCUAGGGUUGGCAUCAGGGGCCCGGUCAGCUAUGCUCCCUCAGCUUUUAUAGGCAGCGAACCACCGCAGGCAGAGCAGAGAUAAAGAUUCCAACUGCAUCCAUCUACAAACAAGGAUCUCGACGGAAGAGAUAAAAGCAUGCAGCACAAUUGCCGCUGCCCUACUGCAGCCUUGACUCUCGUCAAUUGGAUGACCAAAAGAUGCCACCGUCUAAGCUCUUUUCUUUGUGCAGCUGCCUGUUUGUCACCAACACAAAAUUUGUAGGUGCAUGUUUGUCACCAAUUAUCCUCUACCACAAAGAACUACAAUAGUGGUGGAGGAUCCGAUCCGGCACAGAUCCACUAUAAUGCAUAGUUGGUGAUGCAUGCCUAAUGGUGGUUGUUUAGUGUUAGUUUGGGCAUGUUGGAACUAAGCAAUUGUCGAUGCCAUACACUAGAAGUGAAGAAUGUUGUUAGCGUUAGGAGUAGAGGUGUCAAUGGGGACCGAUGCCCGUUAAGCCAUGGAGAAUUUCUCUAUUAGAUUUAGGGUAUGGGAAGAUUUUAAUUUCCAUUUGCUGAAUUUAGGUAUACAUCUAUUUGAAUCAACAGUUACAGUUCAACAAAAACUCUUUCCGCUCUAGUUUGUUUCGUGUCCUACCUUUUUCCUAAACUAGUUUUCCCUAAAUUGACAUACUCUCUAGAAAAUAUAUCCAAAUUUUGAAGAUCAAAUAUGUUCCAUUGAAUUAUUCAUGACAUAUAUCUUGGUAUUGCUUUUUUGUCAUCAGAAUAUAUUUUGAACUCAGUAAAAGUUAUACACGAUUUUUUUAGACAAUACUAAAGCAAGUUGUAAUCAAGAACAUUUGAGGUGUGCGCCAAUUUCCACAUUUAGAUAUAAUCAUUCUAAUUUUGGUCAUCCUAUGUAUGUGCAUUCAUCUAUGCAUUCUAGGAUUUCAAUUAGUCUCAAUCUUGUAGUAUUUGUUCCUUCAUUGUCAAAUCACUUCUCAUCUAACUACUAUGCUUGUUUAACCAUCAGAACAUAACUACAACAAUAUCCAUUUAUAAAGGUUUUGAUAGCAAACUUUACAUAUUCAUAUCAUGUUAAGGUUGUCACAUGUGUAAAGGUGAAGAGAUCAUGCAUGUCAUUCCACGUAGAUGAAAAGAAUUCCUAUAUAAAAUGACACCUUUUCUUGUAGGUAGUGGAAAGUAUCUUUCCAGCAAAGACCAUAUAAUCCGAUAAAGUUGAUAACUAAAUGUCGAAAUAGAGUAGAUGCCAUAUCAUCUAUACCUUAUCUGUUGUUUGGAAAAAGACUAAAUCCAAAAAUAUAUAUAUAAGAUCUCACUUGUAUAAAUAGCUCCCAAAUUAGUAGUUAACCAUCACCCAUAAUAUUUUGAGCAUUCAGAAACACACCUAGCGAAGCGCACUAGCAACGACCUAACAACAAUGGCUUCCAAGACAUUAUCCCUCCUUGCGCUUCUUGCCCUUUUUGUGAGUGCAACAAAUGCGUUCAUUAUUCCACAAUGCUCACUUGCUCCGAGUGCCAUUAUUCCACAGUUCCUCCCUCCAGUUACUUCAAUGGGCUUCGAACACCCAGCUGUGCAAGCCUAUAGGCUACAACAAGCGCUUGCGGCGAGCGUCUUAGAACAACCAAUUGCCCAAUUACAACAACAAUCCUUAGCACAUCUAACCAUACAAACCAUCGCAACGCAGCAGCAACAAGCACUGAGCCACCUAGCCGUGGUGAACCCUAUCGCCUACUUGCAACAACAGCUGCUUGCAUCCAACCCACUUGCUUUGGCAAACGUAGCUGCAUACCAACAACAACAACAGUUGCAACAGUUUCUGCCAGCGCUCAGUCAACUAGCCAUGGUGAACCCUAUCGCCUACCUACAACAGCAACAACUUCUUUCAUCUAGCCCGCUCGCUAUGGGCAAUGCACCUACAUACCUGCAACAACAGUUGUUGCAACAACAGUUGCUGCAACAAAUUGUACCAGCUCUUACUCAGCUAGCUGUGGCAAACCCUGCUGCCUACUUGCAACAACUACUUCCAUUCAACCAACUGACUGUGUCGAACUCUGCUGCGUACCUACAACAGCGACAACAGUUACUUAAUCCACUAGCGGUGGCUAACCCAUUGGUCGCUGCCUUCCUACAGCAGCAACAAUUGCUGCCAUACAACCAGUUCUCUUUGAUGAACCCUGCCUUGUCGUGGCAGCAACCCAUCGUUGGUGGUGCCAUCUUUUAGAUUACAUAUGAGAUGUACUCGAUAAUGGUGCCCUCAUAGCGGCAUGUGUUUCCUAAAAAUAAUCAAUAUAUUGAUUGAGAUUUAUCUCGAUAUAUUUCUGAACUAUGUUCAUCAUAUAAAUAAUUGAAAACAUCAUAUCAUAAUUAUAAACUUAUGCUUGGUCAAUACAUAGACAAUACAAUAUUACUUCAUCAUCCCAAUGAUGUCCAAGCCAAACCUCUUGAAUGUUACUGUUUGGGUGUGUGCGGGUGUAUUUAUAAGAUAGAUGUGACUAUUUGCGCUUUUUGUUGAGUACACACAUAUAUGGUAUGUUGAUUUGAUAUAGUGAUGGACACAUGCUUUGACCAUGAAUAUUCAAAUCAGUUGUACUUGCACGAAGCAAAACAUAAUAUUAGUUUAGGAGUAAACUUAUAACUGCGUCCAAACAUGCUCACACAAAUUCAUACCACAUUAUAUUUUUUUGGUAAGUAUUCCACACAUGUAUUUUUUACAAGAACCCAAAUUUUGCACACAAAUGUAGCAUUCUAGAUAUGUAUAAUUCUUUGAAGCCCGUGAACUUAACAACAGCAAGGUCAUUAAAUCAAUUGGACCCUAUGAGUAAUAAUUUCGAUACGCAAACACCAAAUUAUGGAACUUAUUGGCUGAAAAAAUUAUGAUCAAUGUAAAGUUUAAAUUAUUAUACCAAAAAUAUAUCAAAGAACUUUUUUGAGGAACGUAAAAAUUGCAUGGAAUGGGCUGUCUAACGUGCUAGCUCACUUUUAUGCUAGGUAGCAUUACUAAAGAUGGGAAUGUUGCUGAUGAACGCCAAACCCACUCAAAUAAUAUUUAUAUUUGGGUUGUUUAGUUGUAAAAGUGAAGAUCCAAGAUUAAAAUACCAAUUGGCCAUUGUCAUUCGAUUGUUUUGUUUAGAGAGCACUUGGUGCGUCAUUUGGACUCGUAUCUUAGUCCAAUAGAUUGCAUUUUCCUUCAAUGUGUAGAAUCCGACAAAGUGCAUGUUCUAAAAUUGUAAAUCUAACUAAAUUAGAAAGCUUGUUACUAAUUCGAUGGUUUAUUAGUUGUAGCUCAUAAAACUAGAACCAACAUAGCCUGCACUCACAUGUCAUAGAAAAUAGGAGUAUCCAAGCACAAUUUGUGUGAGCAUCCAUGACACAAAUCAUAUAUAGACUGAUACAAUUAAUUCCUUCAAAAAUAAAAAAGGAAAAAAUAAAGUGUUUUUGGAUACUGUAGAAUAUCGAGCGAAGGGUGACGUCUUCACCUUCGCCCCAACAUUUGCCCUCCGAGGGACCAGUUCGACUAAGUCAUUUGGUGCCGAAGGUGUCGCUAGAUGGUGGAGACGCUGCCCUCGCUCGAAGUGGUUCCGCGGGGGUUUUUGACAUGACCGUUGAUUGACGCCACACUGUUGGAUUGCUGGCUUCCCGAAGCGUCGCGCCCUGUGUAUAUAAAGGGGGUGGGGGCGGCGGGGAUUGAAAUUUACCUUUCUGCGCGCCGCGAAAACCCUAGCCUCCCUGUCAAACUGCUCGCUUGCUCGUCUGCCCUCCUUGCUCCUGUUCGUCGGAGAACUGGCCCACGUGAAGCAGACUGUGCGCCGCCGUCGACGGUACGUAGCCAUGCCGUCUUCCUCCUCGUCUGCUGCGACCACGCCGACGGCCAAGGCGACUUCCGAAGAUCUCUCGGGCACUGUGGCGGCGGCGGAAUUACGACCGGGUGAUACGGUGGAAUUCGGUGUUUCGCGGAUGUCGUUGGUCCGCGUGCAAGAUAUGCAACAGUUGGUGUAUUUUGGCGGCGGGGUUGGUCGAGUCCCGGGGCCAGAGGAGGUCCCCGAGCUCGAGGGCGAAUUGGUUGUUUUUGAGGCAUUUUUCAUCGCCGGCCUUCGCCUGCCUGCGCAUCGUUUUAUGUCGGAGGUUCUGCAGAAGUUCAAAGUCCAGGUUCAUUAGCUCACACCGAACGCCGUGGUGGCGUUGGCGAAGUAUGUCUGGGCAACGACGUCGUAUGGCGGUCAGCCUUCGGUGGAAGUCUUCGCCAAGCAAUACGGUCUGCAUUGGCAGAAGAGAAAAAAUGGACAUAAGAUUGCUCAAUUCGGAUCAUGCACUUUCACGCCGAAGUCCGGGAAGACUUCGAUGGAAGUGGUGGAGCUGGUCCCCUGUGCCCAAAAUAAGUGGGGCAACUGGUGGGACUACUGGUUCUAUGUUUCGGAGGCUGAAGUCGAAGAUCACCCAGGGCUCCCUGCCGCCAUUAUGUGCUCUCAUUACUAUGUGGCAUACCCGCCAUUUGAAGUGGCGGAGGAUGAUGAAAAUGAAAGGGCCCUUCGGAUCGCUGCCCGCACGAGUAGUGGGCGCGAUCUAGUUGAGGAAUUCAUAGGGUAUGGGGUGUGGCCCUUGGCGCAUGGAUGGGCGUUGGGCAAAGUAUGCCCUCGCGAGAUGCCCUCCCUGGGCGGGCGGAAGGUGCGAAGUCCGCUUUUUGCUUUGGAUGUGCGAGGGCGGGAUCCUGCCGCGGUUGUGCAUGAGGCGGAGGAUGGGGCGGUGAGAAUUGUUGGGUGCUACGUGCCGAAGACGGAGGCCCAGCGGAGUUGGGAUAUACGUGGAUCCAACGACCGCCUGAAUAGGGUCUUCGAGUUGAAUUGUUUGCCGUAUGGCGGUUAUCCCGGGGAAGACGUUGUCGACCACAGCGGGAAAAAACCAGCGGCUGUGACUGAAGACGACCCCGCGUCGGAGGCCGCCCCAGCCACUAAGAAGAGGAAGCUAGGUACUGCGGUGGGAGAACUGGGGGUCUCCGAUAGUUUUGCUAUGGAGUUGAUGGGGACAUGCGUGGCCCCCGGGGGAAGGAUGUCUUCGCCCGAGCUCCGGGAGUCUUCGGCGCGGAUGUUGGAGGUUACCGGGGGUCGAUGGCCCAAAAACGUUCCUAUCCCCCGCGCGGCUGGCGAAGACUUCUUUACAUCUCGCAUGGCUCGUGACUUGAGAGUGUUUCCUUACAGACGGAAUAUUGCUGUUGUUGUGUCGAUAGUGAUGAACAAGGAUCACCAGGAUGCUGCGCAGAAGCGUCGGGCGGUCAUCAGGCUCCCCGACGCUAGGCGUGAAGCGAAGAGAGCGCGAGGGAGUGCGAAGGCUAUCGUCCCCGGCGGUAGCCAGCCGAUGCUGGCUGCAAAGCCGGCCGCGCCUGGAUCCAGCAAGGUGCCGGAGAGCGGGAAGGCGGUCGGCGCCGGUGGAACCAAGUCUGCCCCGGACGGAGCUGUGAAGGUCCGGGAGCUGCCUUCGACGGGGAAACGCGUUGCCGACUUCGGCAUGAAUAUUAGCGUGGACGACUAUCUCGUUGGUAAGCAUUUUUUUUAUUCUGACCGGUGAUACGUUGCAGGGUCGAGUGAGGGGCAACUGGUUGUUGUCCCACCUGUGGUGGCAACCACGGCGUCAACCGCGGUGCUUGGGGUGAAGGGUGGCGCUUUCAGCGCUGGCGGCGAGAUUUCGGCGGCCACUGCCGUCAAGGACGAAGCGGGCACUAUGUCCCGCCGGCUGAGGGAGGCGUCGCAGCAGCUAAGUCAAGUAAGUUGAGCUGGACUUCGGUGUUUCCUGCUUUCAUGGGGAUUGUGGUCUCAUGUGUGUCUGUUAGGCGGCCGACUUCGCCGACCGCGUGGCGUCGGGUGCCCUUACUGCAGAUGUGUCUGCCGAAGUCGAGAGACUUUGGGCGCAGCACGCGGACGCCGUCCGGGAGAAGUCGGCUGCGGAGAGCAAGAGCCACAGGCUGGCGGAGAAGGUGGCCGCCCUGGAGGGCGAGAGGAUGGACCUCCGGCGCCAGUUGGUGGAGGAAAGGAGGGAGGCCAACCAGGCCAUCGCCAAGGUGCAGGCGGCGCAGGCGGAGGCCAAAUUGGCGUGGGCGGAGGGGAGUCUCGCCAGCCAACGCGCCGAGGAAUGGGAGGUGCGGUUCAACGCUCUGCACGCCCGCAUGGAGAGGGCCGAGGCCUCUACGCGCUCGGAAGUUGAGCGAACGCGCAAACAGCUCGUGGACUCAUACCGGGAGCUGGGUGCGCGGACUGCUGACUUCGAGGUGCCCGACCGAGAAGCGAGCCUUCGCUUCCUCGAGUGGCUGCAAGAGGAAUUGCUGGCACUCCCGACCAUCGUGGAGGGAUUCAUGUCUUUUGCCUCCCUCGUCACCUGCGAAGGGGCCAUGAAUGCGUUGUCCCGCAAGGGAUGCAAUCACUAUGAGGGCUUCGACCGGUCCGAUGAAGACUUUGGGCGCGAAAUUUUUAAGGUCGAAGACCCUGUGGUGAAGGAUUCUGCGGGGGCCCUCUUCGAUCGGAUGUGGGGUCCUCAUGGCCGGGAGGCGGUCAAGGAGCGGUCUGAUCGGGCGAGAGAGCAUGUAAGUCUUGUCUGUUGUUUCGUGUGAUUGAAUGUGGGUACGUGUGGGUUUGCUGAAUGAGUGUGUUGUUGCUGCAGAUGGCGCAUGCUGAGGAUGUCAAAGACCUCGGAGGUCUAAACAGUGCGCCGCCCGAGGCUGCGGAGGGCAGACCGGUGCUGCCCUCGGAUGCUGGUGAACGCCCAUCGGACGUGCCCGUGCCUGCUGCUGUCGGCGAAGACCCUGUGUCGGCCCCUGUGCCGACAGUCAAAGGCGCUCAUGAGGUGGUGGCGGAGCCGGUGGUCGAAGGCCCUACGGCCGCGGAGGCGCCCGCGCAGGUGGCUAAGUAGUUGAAUAGGUUUAGGGGGGUUGUAAAUUUUGUCUACGUGUUACUGAACCUCGGUUGCUGCGCAGGUUCAGGGUUUUGGGCCUGCGUACGCAACCGCUACUGAAAGUGCUAAUUUUGUGGCGGCUUCGACCGUGGUUGCGGAAAAUGAUUCGGGUGAUUCUGUGUCUAAGUUUUUUGAGUCUGAUGAUUCUGUGAGUUCGGUGGUGUGGACUGAAGAGUCUUCGGAUGAGGACUUGGAUUAUUUUGCGGCAUUGGAUGUGGCUGCGGCGGAGGCUUCGCCGUGUGUGAUGGGUGCUGAGGUUCUCGGUCCGAGCGCUGGGCGUAGGCGGCAAAGGGCGGUGGCGAAGCGCGGAGUGAGUGAGGUGGAGGGUGGUCGUCUUCGUGUGGACAGGGCUGGUAGGCGGGAAUUGUUGUCCUUGCCAGAUGGGGCGAGUGUAGGUGAGGGGGAAUUGCGAAGUCUGUUUGAGGGUGAGGAGCUGAGGAUAAUGUUGUUUAACUAUAGGGAGAUGGGUAUCAUCCCGAAGGUUGAACCAUUGUAAGGUGUGAUGCCCUCGUUGUACGUAUGUAACUAUAAUUUGUAUGAUGAGGCUGUGUGCCUUAGCUGAUACGGUCGUGCCCGUAGGGGACUUGUGCACUAGGUCUAGCACGUUUAUUAUGUCGGUCCAGCUGCACCCUCAGGCGACUUUUGCACGGAUAGUCUUGGGAGGAAGACUUCGAUUUUUCGCACUUGUUGUGCUAGUCCGGCUGCACCCUUAGGCGACUUUUGCACGGAUAGUCUUUUGGAGAAGACUUCGAUUUUGCGCACUUGUUGUGCUAGUCUGGCUGCACACUUAGGCGACUUUUGCAUAGACAAUAUUUUGGGGAAGACUGGUUUUGCGCACUUUUUGUGCUAGUCCGGCUGCACCAUUAGGCGACUUUUGCACGGAUAGUCUUUUGGGGAAGACAUGUUUUGCGCACUUGUUGUGCUAGUCCGGCUGCGCCCUUAGGCGACUUUUGCGCGGACUGUCGCACGUGAGGGUAGCCAGCGCUGCCCCUCGCGGUGACUUCGUGUUUGUCGAAUGUCGAAGACUGUCGAUGCGGUCUUCUUUCGACGUUGUAAUUUUUUGCGGGGGAUUUUUUGCGUGUAUAUUACAUGGCUCCACCUCAUUAAAAACCUCACCCCCCGGUAGGAAAAGAGUGCGGGCCGGAAUAAAAACUGUCUUGCGAAUUACAAGGGUGAGCUGGCCCUAAGGAGUCAAACAAAAAACUUGCGAAGAUUGUCAAUGUUCCAAGAAUGUUCAAAGUCUUCGCCAGAUGGCGUUGUGAGCCUGUACGCGCUGGGGGACGCCUUCGUCUUGACAAUGAAAGGGCCCUCCCAUUUUUGCUCUAGCCUGCCCCGGGACUCUGUCCGAGUUGUCCGGACGAGUACGAGGUCUCCUUCGCUAAAUUCCCUCGGGAUGACUGUGUGGUCGCGCCAUGCUUUUGUUUGAGCUUGGUAUUUGUUUAGAGCCUGUAGGGAGAAGACACGGUCUCCGUCGAUGAGGUCCUUCGAAGUAGGUUCGUCUACGUCGGGGACGGCUGACGCGACUGUCCGCAGUGACCCAUGUUUUAUUUCUUGCGGAGUCAUGGCCUCCGAUCCAUAUAGAAGGCGGAAAGGGGUGAACCCAGUCGCCCUGAACUCAGUCGUGUUCAGCGCCCAGACCGCUUUAGGUAACAGGUCUGCCCACUUUCCUUUUUUGUCGUCGAGGAGCAUUUUCUUGAUGGCUGUGAAAAUUUUACCGUUGGCGCGUUCCACAACUCCGUUGGAUUGCGGGUGGUACACUGAGGCGAAGGCAAGCUUGGUGCCGAUGGAGAAGCAGAAAUCCUUGAAGUCUUGGCUGUCAAAUUGCUUGCCAUUGUCAGCUGUGAGUUCGGACGGGACUCCGAAGCGGCAAACAAUGUUUUGCCAGAAGAAUUUCUGGGCAGUCUUCGAUGUUAUCGUGGAUACAGUCCUCGCCUCGAUCCAUUUGGUAAAAUACUCGACGGCGACGAAGGUCAACUUGAGGUUCCCCUAGGCCGUGGGUAGGGGCCCGACAAUGUCCAGGCCCCAGCGCUGAAGAGGCCACGUGUGGGCGAUUAGCUUUGUGAAUUGCGAAGGGCUUCCCGAGCGUGGAGAAAAUUUCUGGCAGGCUUCGCAGGACCUUGUGACCCGAUUUGCAGCGCAGAUCAUGGCGGGCCAGUAGAAACCUUGAUGGAUCACCUUUGCGGCUAGGGCCCUGGGCCCUGCGUGAGAGCCGCAAGUCCCGCUGUGGACUUCGCGCAGAAUUUGGACGCCUUCGGUCUCGGUGACACAUUUAAGCAUGGGUUGACUGACCCCCUUUUUGUAAAGUUGGCCUUCGAUUAGUGCGAAGUCCCGGCUUCGAUGUUUGAGGCACUUGGCCUCAUUGAUAUCGGUUGGAUGAUAGUACCCCUGCAGGAAUAGGGUUAUUGGUGCCCGCCAGUCUUCGGUCAUGAUGAGGUUGACUAUGCGGUGGCCCUCGCUGUCAUUGGUUAUUUGGAGCCCCUCUGGGCUGCGGAAGGCUGGCGUGCCAAUGACAUGGUAGAAUACAUCGGAGGGCAGGGCCUCGCCUCUGGCGGCUGCCUUGGCUAAUGCGUCGGCCUCCUCAUUCUUGGCUCGGUCCACAUGCUGUAAGGUAAAACCUUUGAAUUGUCUUUCGAGACUGCGGAUAGUCGCGAGGUACUGCAUAAGUGUGGGGUCCUUCGUUGUGUAGUCUUUCUCGACUUGGCCGACGACUAUCUUGGAGUCUGUUCUGAUGAUGCAGGUGGUGACACCAAGUGGCCUUAGCUUGCGAAGGCCGAGAAUGAUAGCUUCGUAUUCUGCUAUAUUGUUAGUGCAUCUGUCAGACUCCAAAGCAAAGCUGAGGCGUGCUGCGUAUCUGUGCUUGACCCCUGUGGGUGACGUAAUGACUACAGCGGUGCCUGCCCCCGCAUGGCACCAUGCGUCGUCGCAAUGGAUUGUCCAUACCCUCUCCGCGGACGUGUCCGGCUGUGUUAUUGGCCCAGUCCAGUCGACGACGAAGUCUGCCAGGACUUGUGACUUGAUGGCUGUCCUGGGUUUGAAUGUGAUGUGUUAGCCGGAGAGUUCGGCUGCCCAUUUGGCAAUCCGGACUGAUGCCUUCGGGUUUCUAAACAAUUCGCUGAGUCCCCUAUCUGAGGUGACCCGGACCUUGAACGCUUCAAAAUAAUGGCGCAAUUUGCACGAAGCCAUAACAACUGCGUAGGCGAUUUUUUCCAGUUCCGUCAUAUUGCAUUUUGAUGUCGUGAGUACUUCGGAGACGUAAUAAACUGGACAUUGCCUGAACGAGCCCUCUCUAUUCCGCUCUUAGACCAGUGAUGCGCUGACCGCAUGCGGCGAAGCUGCGAUGUAGAGCAACAGUGGUAGCGAGGGGUCUGGGCUUGUAAGAAUCGCCAAUUCUGACAGAUACUGCUUCAAAGAGGCGAAGGCCGCCGCCUGCUCUGGUCCCCAUGCGAAGUCUUUUGCGCCGCGGAGUGUUUUGAGGAAAGGGAGACUUCGCUCUGCGGAUUUGGAGAUGAAUCUGUUGAGGGCGUCCAAUCUGCCUAUUAGUCGUUGGACGUCUCUGGCUGACUGUGGGGCGUCAUGUUGAUGAUGUCCUGAAUUUUGGUUGGAUUGGCUUCGAUCCCAUGGUGCGACACCGUGUAGCCCAAUAUUUUCCCCUAGCGAACGCCGAAGACGCACUUUUCGGGGUUUAGGCGAAGUCGUGCGUCCCGCAUGUUCGCAAAUGUUUCGGUGAGGUCAGCCAGAUGGUCUUCCUUGCUUCUGCUGGCGACGACGAUGUCGUCCACAUACGUAAAUAUGUUUCUGCCGACUUGGCCCUCGAGCACUGUUUUGGUGAGCCGAGAGAAAGUGGACCCGGCGUUCUUAAGUCCCUCCGGCAUUCUGAUGGUAUUAUUAAUUCAAUCUGAUAUAACCAUCAGAUCUUAAGUAUUUAAUUAAUCUAGAGCGUACAUUAGAUUAUCAAACCAAAUCAACCUGACAUAACCAUCGAAUGUUCCGCUAUGCACCUUAAGCGCAUGGUCUGGGGCUUAAUCAUCCGAAUAACCAUCCGAUCUUCUGGUAAGCAUAGUAAGCGUAUGGUUCACGACUUCGUCAUCCGGAAUAACCAUCAGAUUUUCCAGUAAGCACUGAAAGCAAAUGAUCCGGGGUUUUGUAGGGGAAAUGUUGUUAGGUGAAUGCGGAUGCUGGCUGAUGUUGCACGUGCGAACUGUUGUGUGGAAGCUGCUAGGUCCUCCUCUAUUGUGCGUGGCUUGUGGCGGGCUUGGACUUCUCUCAUGGCUUUGGCGCUUGGAACUGUUCGUCCGUUCGGUCCUGCGUGCAUCUCUCUCUCCUGGCUGGAGGCGUGGUGGCCUGGUGGCUUCUCUGUGUUUUUCUUUUUACGACAGCUUCUCGUGUUGGCUAGGGUUGGUGUCAGGGGCCCGGUCAACUAUGCUCCCUCAGCUUUUAUAGGCAGAGCACCACAGCAGGCAGAGCAGAGAUAAAGAUUCCAACUGCAUCCAUCUACAAACAAGGCUCUCAGCGGAAGGGAUAAAAGCAUGCAGCGCAAUUGCUGCUACCGUGCUGCAGCCUUGACUCUCGUCAAUUGGAUGACCAAAAGAUGCCACCGUCUAAAGUCUUUUCUUUGUGCAGCUGCCUGUUUGUCACCAACACAAAAUUGUAGGUGCCUGUUUGUCACCAAUUAUCCUCUACCACAAAGAACUACAAUAGUGAUGGAGGAUCCGAUCCUGCAUAGAUCCACGAUAAUGCAUAGUGGGUGAUGCAUGCCUAAUGGUGGUUGUUUAGUGUUAGUUUUGGCAUGUUGGAACUAAGCAAUUGUCGAUGCCAUACGCUAGAAGUGAAGAAUGUUGUUAGCGUUAGGAGUAGAGGUGUCAAUGGGGUCUGAUACCCGUUAAGCCAUGGAGAAUUUCUCUAUUAGAUUUAGGGUAUGGGAAGAUUUUACUUUCCAUUUGUUGAAGUUAGGUAUACAUCUAUUUGAAUCAACAGUUACAGUUCAAUAGAAACUUCUUCCGCUCUAGUUUGUUGCGUGUCCUACCUUUUUCCUAAACUAGUUUUCCCUAAAUUGACAUACUCUCUAGAAAAUCUAUCCAAAUUUUGAAGAUCAAAUAUGUUCGAUUGAAUUAUUCAUGACAUAUAUCUUGGUAUUGCUUUUUUGUCAUCAGAAUAUAUUUUGAACUCAGUAAAAGUUAUACACGAUUUUUUUUAGACAAUACUAAAGCAAGUUGUAAUCAAGAACACUUGAGGUGUGCGCCAAUUGCCACAUUUAGAUAUAAUCAUUCUAAUUUUGGUCGUCCUAUGUGUGUGCAUUCAUCUAUGCAUUCUAGGAUUUCAAUUAGUUUCAAUCUUGUAGUAUUGGUUCCUUCAUUGUCAAAUCACUUCUCAUCUAACUACUAUGCUUGUUUAACCAUCAGAACAUAACUACAACAAUAUCCAUUUAUAAACGUUUUGAUAGCAAACUUUACAUAUUCAUAUCAUGUUAAGGUUGUCACAUGUGUAAAGGUGAAGAGAUCAUGCAUGUCAUUCCACGUAGAUGAAAAGAAUUCCUAUAUAAAAUGACACCUUUUCUUGUAGGUAGUGGAAAGUAUCUUUCCAGCAAAUACCAUAUAAUCCGAUAAAGCGGAUAACUAAAUGUCGAAAUCGAGUAGAUGCCAUAUCAUCUAUACCUUAUCUGUUGUUUGGAAAAAAGACAAAAUCCAAAAAAUAUAUUUGAGACCUCACCUGUAUAAAUAGCUCCCAAAUCAGUAGUUAAUCCAUCACCCAUAAUAUUUUGAGCAUUCAGAAACACACCAAGCGAAGCUACCUAGCAACGACUUAACAACAAUGGCUACCAAGAUAUUAGCCCUCCUUGCGCUUCUUGCCCUUUUUGUGAGCGCAACAAAUGCGUUCAUUAUUCCACAAUGCUCACUUGCUCCUAGUGCCAUUAUACCACAGUUCCUCCGACCAGUUACUUCAAUGGGCUUCGAACACCUAGCUGUGCAAGCCUACAAGCUACAACAAGCGCUUGCGGCGAGCGUCUUACAACAACCAAUUAACCAAUUGCAACAACAAUCCUUGGCACAUCUAACCAUACAAACCAUCGCAACACAACAGCAACAACAGUUCCUACCAGCACUGAGCCAACUAGAUGUGGUGAACCCUGUCGCCUACUUGCAACAGCAGGUGCUUGCAUCCAACCCACUUGCUCUGGCAAACGUAGCUGCAUACCAACAACAACAACAAUUGCAACAGUUUCUGCCAGCGCUCAGUCAACUAGCCAUGGUGAACCCUGCCGCCUACCUACAACAGCAACAACUGCUUUCAUCUAGCCCUCUCGUUGUGGGUAAUGCACCUACAUACCUGCAACAACAAUUGCUGCAACAGAUUGUACCAGCUCUGACUCAGCUAGCUGUGGCAAACCCUGCUGCCUACUUGCAACAGCUGCUUCCAUUCAACCAACUGACUGUGUCGAACUCUGCUGCGUACCUACAACAGCGACAACAGUUACUUAAUCCACUAGCAGUGCCUAACCCAUUGGUCACUGCCUUCCUACAGCAGCAACAAUUGCUACCAUACAGCCAGUUCUCUUUGAUGAACCCUGCCUUGUCGUGGCAGCAACCCAUCGUUGGAGGUGCCAUCUUUUAGAUUACAUAUGAGAUGUAAUCGAUAAUGGUGCCCUCAUACCGGCAUGUGUUUCCUAGAAAUAAUCAAUAUAUUGAUUGACAUUUAUCUCGAUAUAUUUUUGAACUAUGUUCAUCAAAUAAAUAAUUGAAAACAUCAAAUCGUAAUUAUAAACUCAUGCUUGGUCAAUACAUAGACAAUACAAUAUUACUUCAUCAUCCCAAUGAUGUCCUAGCCCAACCUCUUGAAUGUUAUUGUUUGGGUGUGUGAGGGUGUAUAUAUAAGAUAGAUGUGACUAUUUGCGCUUUUUGUUGAGUACAUACAUAUAUGGUAUGUUGAUUUGAUAUAGUGAUGGACACAUGCUUUGACCAUGAAUAUUCAAAUCAGUUGUACUUGCACGAAGCAAAACAUAAUAUAAGUUUAGGAGUAAACUUAUAACUGUGUCCAAACAUGCUCACACAAAUUCAUACCACAUUAUAAUUUUUUGGUAAAUAUUCCACACAUGUAUUUUUUACAAGAAACUAAAUUUUGCACACAAAUGUAGCAUUGUAGACAUGUAUAAUUCUAUGAACCCGUGAACUUAACAACACCAAGGUCAUUAAAUCAACUGGACCCUAUGAGUAACAAUUUCGAUAUGGCAAACACCAAAUUAUUGAACUUAUUGGCUGAAAAUUAUGACCAACGUAAAGUUUAAAUUAUUAUACGAUAAAUAUAUCAAAGAAUUUUUUUUGAGGGACGUAAAAAUUGCAUGGAAUCGGCUGCCUAACGUGCUAGCUCACUUUUAUGCUAGGUAGCAUUACUAAAGAUGGGAAUGUUGCUGAUGAACGCCAAACCCACUCAAAUAAUAUUUAUAUUUGGGUUGUUUAGUUGUAAAAGUGAAGAACCAAGAUUAAAGUACCAAUUGGCCAAUGCCAUUCGAUUGUUUUGUUCAGAGAGCACUUGGUGCGUCACUUGGACUCGUAUCUUAGUCCAAUAGAUUGCAUUUUCCUUCAAUGUGUAGAAUCCGACAAAGUGCAUGUUCUAAAAUUGUAAAUCUAACUAAAUUAGAAAGCUUGUUACUAAUUCGAUGGUUUAUUAGGUGUAGGUCAUAAAACUAGAACCAACAUAGCCUGCACUCACAUGUCAUAGAAAAUAGAAGUAUGCAAGCACAAUUUAUGUGAGCAUCUAUGACACAAAUCAUAUGUUGACUGAUACAAUUAAUUCCUUCAAAAAUUAAAAAGGAAACCCAUAAAGUGUUUUUUAUACUGCUGGAUAUCUUCUUUAGCUAAUCAUGAGUACUAAAAGUAUGUUGCACUUUUGGGUGGGGAGAAUUCCCCAUUCAUAACUUUGACAUAAUUUUAAUUCAGAUCACAUAUAUAUAUCAUAUCUUAAUUAUUAUAUUAAUAUGGUAUGCAUCAUUGGAUUAUUAAAUCAAUUCGGUAUAACCAUCGGAUCUUAAUUAAUAAAUUAAUCUAAAGCGUACAUCAGAUUAUCAAACCAAAUCAACCCGACAUAACCCUCGAAUGUUCCGCUAUGCACCGUAAGUGCUUUGUCUGGGGCUUAAUCAUCCGGAAUAACCAUCCGAUCUUCCGGUAAGCACAAUAAGCGUAUGGUUCGGGGCUUCGUCAUCCGGAAUAACCAUCAGAUUUUCUGGUAUGCACUGAAAGCCUAUGAUCCGGUGUUUUGAUAGGCGAAACGUUGUUAGGUGAUUGUGAAUGCUAGCUGUAACUGUGUUUGGAUCUGCUGAGUGGAAGCUGCUGGGUCCUCCUCUACUGCGUGUGGCUUGUGGCGGGCUUGGACUGCUCUCAUGGCUUCGGCGCUUGGAGUUACUCGUCCGUCUGGUCAUGCGUGCGUCUCUCUCUCCUGGCUAGAGGCGUGGUGGCCUGGCGGCUUCUCUAUGUUUUUCUUUUUGUAGCGGCUGCUUGUGUUAGCUAGGGUUGGCGUCAGGGGCCCGGUCAGCUAUGCUCCCUCAGCUUUUAUAGGCAGCGCAGCACAGUAGGCAGAGCAGAGAUAAAGAUUCCAACUGAUCGAAUCCAUCUACAAACUAAGCUCUCGGAGGAAGGGGUAAAAGCAUGCAGCGCAAUUGCUUUUAUGUGUGACGGAUAUGUUUGACAGUUCUUCAACUGUGUUUGAUUUGGAACUAUAUCAUUGUUGAUGUCAAAGGCUAUGUUAAUGUCGAACUAUGAUGAUAUUAUGUGAAUGUUGAACUAUGAAGAUUUUAUGUGUGAUGCAUGUUGGAACUAUAUGUUGAUGUUAAAGACUUGUUGCGAUGUGUUUGUGAAUGUGAGUUGAUAUUUGAGAAUGUGAAUGCGAACGUGAAUUGAUGUUUGUGAAUGUAAUUGUGAAUGUGAAAGUGUGGUAAUUGCCGACGACUCUUUUGCGGCCGUCGGACAUAAGCUAUUUCUGACGGCCCGUCAGAAAUAACCUUAUUUCCGACCCGUUGCGAUCGAGGGACACAGGUGUCGUCGGACAUAAGACUUUGUCCGUCGGAUCUGAUGGUUUAGGAUUUAUUUCCGACGGCUUUGGCCGUCGAAAAUUUUAUCUUUUACUGUUGUGGGGUCCACAUGAACCUUAUCAAUUGUCACCGCCAUCUACCCCCACCUUUCGCUGUCUCGCGGUCCAUUUGCACGCCCUAAACGUGGUGUGACUUUUCAUGAGAGAAUUGGGAGCGACGACUAUGUAGUAGCUCGAACCUGCUAACGAAUUAUAUAUAUAAUCAUAUGGUAUCCACAACUUUUUUAUUCUUUGCGAAAUUGUACCCAGAACUUAACGCGCCCAUUUCGUUUCCGCUUUUAGAGAGACCUCUCUUGACUAGCUAGUGUUCAUACUUCACUUCAUAGUUCAUAGUGCAUAGCACUAUACAGCAGUCUUCCUCUUCUAAGCAGCCAUGGCUAGCACGACCUCUACAGCAGUCCUCCUCGUCUCAACCGCCAUCCUCGUCGCCGCAGCGACCUACUUCCGCCACGGCACGCUCAGCGGCGGCGGCGGCACCGCCGGAACGCACCUCCAUUUCUUCAUGCACGACCAGUACACCGGCGCGAACCCGACGGCCGCGCUCAUCGUGCCCGGAAGGCCGCCGCUCUCCAACGCCACCGCCACCGCCACCGCCACCGGCAGCGGCGAUGACGACGAGCACCCGCGCCGGUUCGGCGACAUCGCCGUGAUGAACAACGCGCUCACGGAGGGGCCCGGGCGCGGCAGCGCGCGCGUCGGCACCGCGCAGGGGUUCACGGUGCGCGUGGCGGAGCGCGGCUCCGUCAACGCGCUGAGCAUGCACCUGGUGCUGGAGGCCGGGGAGCACGCGGGCAGCUCGCUGGUGGUCAGCGGCAGGGUCGACACCGACCUGGCCGUGCGCGAGUCGGUGGUCGUCGGCGGCACCGGCCGGUUCCGCCUCGCGCGGGGCUACGCGCUCAGCAGGAGCUACGACUACGACCUGGCCAAGGGAGGCGUCGUGGAGGUCGAUGUGUACCUGCAGUAGGUUCGCAUGGCAUAUUGGCAUGCAUCGCUCGUUCCUUACCUCUGUACUGCUAUUUGAUCGGUUUUUAUGUUCACUAUCCUGCAGUUUCCCAGAUUUCAAAUUUAUGUUUACAAGAACUGGGACUAGCUAUGAGCUGAAAACUUGGUCCAGUAAUAACAAGGACUUUGGUUUGGCUAUACUUGGUUUUGUAUGUUUCUUUCGUGGGUGUACUGUAAAUUAAUCCUGUUUCACGGCCGUUUAAGGUAAGGUUUUUCUUUUGUUUUACUGUAAAUUUUCAUUAUAAAAACAGAACGAAAAGAUUCAUUUGUGAAUAUGAACACUUAUCCUAGCUAGCGAUUCUUAGCCAACUCCGGGAGACGCGGGCCAGAAAGCAAACUGAUGAUAGGUGAAGUUGAAGGUACAAACCAGUAAUGAUGAUAGGUGAAGUUGUAAGGGGCUCUAUUCUAAAACUAAUAUUUAGAAGCUAAAAUCAGCUGAGAGAUUUAGAACAAAUCAGCUAGUUAAUAGACUAGCUAAUUGUUAGUUAUACCCUCUCAAUCCAUCUAAUAACUUAUUAGCUGAUUAACAAUUAGUUUUAGAGGUUUGAAAUAUGACCUUAUUCUACUAGCUCCAUCUACAUGUUACUAUGAAAAGUCAUGAAUUCACAAGACGUUUUCGAAAACAAUUUCAGCUCCACUUGUAAAGUUGAUUGUGCGGCUGAAGCCAAGAAAACAUUAGAGGACAAACAAUAACUUACUAUGCUUUUCGUGAACUGUUUCAGGCCAGCAGUAAUAAUUAUUGGUCCUACAUGCAUUAAUGGUUAAGCCGCUAGCUUGCCAAGACGGAGCAUUAAUUAGGAGAUAAGACCUAGCGUUUCAUUGCAUCCCCAUGAAAGGGAUACUAUCACUAGUUCACUACUGCAUGAAUAAUUUUCAAAUGUAGUUAAAAACUGAUAUUGAAAUGUAGGUAAUCUGUCCACCUAUGUGAAAUGUUUAACAGAGGCAGCCACUCUAGGAUGUUGCCCUCGAUCUAUUAAUUACUGAUAGAUGCAGCCAUCCAACUCUAGCCACCUGUUGGCGUCUUUUUGGCCAAAUACUGAUGAACCCUAGAGUCUACAAGCGACGUGCAGUGCGUUGAGUUCCUAUCUACGAGCUGAUGGACUGUUCGGCCCUAGUGGUCGGACUACUGUCCGCGGUUGGCAGGCAGACUAUUCGCAGCGGACUGUACCUAGAUCCCACCUCCCCGAAGUGACCCUAUCGGGAAGGAGGGAUUAUAGAAUUGCUUUGGGAUCGGCAGACCAUCUAAAAGCACAUCAAGUUAAGGUAGAGACGAAGAUUGGAGAUUGGGAAGCUACAAUUAGGGCUAAACUAUGUCUAAUCUAAGAACAUGAAUGUAAAUAAGGUAAAACUAUUAUUUGGGUUCGAUUGAUUGUUGUUCCAAUCGGCCAUAACCCCUAAUAGGGGGAGGUCUAGACCCUUUCCUAGGUAGAGUCCAACAAAAUCCAUGAAUAAUCGAUUGAAUCUCGCAAAAAAUCAUGACCCGAACAUGUUUUGAUCUAUUCCCAAAUUGGUUGGGCUAACACACUAGACUAUCUUGCGCCGAACAGUCUGGGCUUCUACGCCAGACAGUCUAGAGGGUGCCAGUUUAGGUUCUCAACACAUGCCCCCAACCUUUUUGGCGGAGUUUUACGAGACAAAAGCACCUAGCACACCUUGUAUACUUCGACAAUUAAGACAUGCACAUGUCAAUUCAUAUUAUUCCGAAGUAAAGACUCAAUGUGAAAACAUCGACCUUCUAGGUGUCUUGCUAAACACUAGGAUAGUAUCGUUUUAACAAACGACCAUUUAAUGCUUUAGUUAGCUUCUCACCUUGCAAAGUCUCCAAUAUAUAUGCAUUACCAGAAAUUACCUAUACAAUCGUAUAAGGCCCUUUCGAACUUGGGGACCAUUUGCCAAACUUUCGAUCUUUGGUCUUUAAUGGCAAGAAUGUCUUCCAUAACAAAUCUCUAUCUUGAAAUUAUUUAGCCUUUACCUUCUUAUUGUAGGCCUUGGCAACUGCAAGUUUGUCCUUUUCUAUCUCCUUUAGAGCUAUCAACCUUUUACCGAUUACAUCAUCAAUAUUAUCCAUCAUUAGGUUAUGAUAUUCACCUAUUGCUAAGUCAUUUUAUUUUGUGAACAUAAUGGCAUUCAAACUUAUCUCCAAAGGCAAAAGAACUUCCUGGCCGUAUACAAGCUCGGAAGGAGUCACCUUAGUAGCAUUGUGCUUAGAUAUCCUAUGAGCCCAUAAAGCUUCGGAUAAAACCUUAUGUCAAUGUCUAGGAUAAUUAAAUAUCUUCUUUUUUAUAAGGCUAAUCAAUAUCUUAUUACUUGACUCGGGCUGAGCAUAGUAUGAAGAUGAAUUGUGCAACUUAAUCUUAAAAGAUUUAACAAUUUCAUGCACCUUUUUGUCGGACAUAAAAGAAGUUCCCUGGACCAUAGUUAAAGUUUGUGAAAUACCAAAUCUAAGAAUAACAUGUUCAGUUAUAAACUCAAUUACCUCCUAGUGUUUCAUUUUUCCAAAACAAAGGCUUCAGUCCAUUUAGGGCCCGUUCGGUUGUUAUGGAAUGGAGUACCGGAACUGUUUCAAGCCGGAUUGCUUCUCUAAUUUGUAUAAGUUUUGAUCAACAGGAAUAAUUCUUGGUGCGUUUCUGCAGAAACGAACAGGCCCUUAGUGAAGUAGUUUCACUACCGGAAUCCGAGCCUUUGCCGAGUGCCGGCCGCUUUGCCGAGUGCCUUUUCUCGGGCACUCGGCAAAUACGGCUUUGCCGAGUGGCGCACUCGGCAAAGCUCGGCUCUCGGUAACGAGCGUCUUUACCGAGCGUAGGACACUCGGUACAGGUCCACACUCGGUAAAUCCAUGUUUGCCGAGUGUCAAACACUCGGCACAUGGGGCUCUCGGCAAAGAGCCGUCAGCGGCCGUCCUAAAGCUGACGGCCGUCAGUCUUUGCCGAGCGCCAACGGUUGGCACUCGGCAAAGAGUCUUCUUUGCCGAGUGUCGCCCAGUUGACGCUCGGCAAAGAACUCUUUGCCGAGUGCCAUCCCUAGACACUCGGCAAAGUAUAUUUUUAUUUCUUUUAUUUUGUCUCCCAAACUUUUUGUGGUAUGUUCCUACACUAUGUAGACCUACAUGUAUCAUUUGUGGACAAUUUUAACAGAGUUUCAAUCGUUAGUAGAUUUAGUUCGUUUAUUUGAAUUUCUUCGGAAAAUUUAGAUUUGAACUGCAGGUCACUCGAAACUUGGAAAACCGUGCAUGAAAAAAUGAUAUUCAUGUUACUUAGCAUAAGUUACGACCGAUUCCAGGAGCGGACCAAAAACUUCGAGCAACAUGCUCACUAAACAUGGUCGUGAACUUGUCAUCAACAUGUUUAAAACUUGUAUAAAACACAAACAAAGUCAGAAAAUCUUGAAACUUGUCCACGUGUCAUGAUAUCAUAUGUACAGGCUGCGAUAAAAAAUUGAAAAAAUUUCGAGAAAACUAUGACGCGCUAUGUGUACAAACCUAAGAGAUCCACAUUGAAACUCUAUGAUUUCAUGUGUAGUUCUCUUAGGUUUCUACACAUAGUGUCUCACAACUUUGUCCAAACAUUCUCAAUUUUUUAUCACAACCUGUGCAUAUGAUAUCAUGACAUGUGGACAAGUUUCAUGAUUUUCUGACUUUGUUUGUGUUUUAUACAAUUUUUAAACAUGUGGAUGGCAAGUUCACGGCCAUGUUUAGUGAGCAGGUUGCUCGAAGUUUUCGGUCCGCUCAUGGAAUCGGUCGUAACUUAUGCUAAGUAACAUGAAUAUCAUUUUUUUCAUGCACGGUUUUCCAAGUUUCGAGUGACCUGCAGUUCAAAUUUGAAUUUUCCGAAGAAAUUCAAAUAAACAAACUAAAUCUACUAGCUAUUUCAAACUCUGUUAAAAUUGUCCACAAAUGAUACAUGUAGAUCUACAUAGUGUAGGAACAUACCACAAAAAGUUUGGGAGACAAAAUAAAAAAAAUACAAAUGCACUUUGCCGAGUGUCUAGGACUGACACUCGGCAAAGACUUCUUUGCCGAGUGCUAGAUGUGUGGCACUCGGCAAAGAGGUAGUAAAGAACCUUUGCCGAGUGCCGCAACGGGGGACACUCGGCAAAGAACUCUUUGCCGAGUGCCGCUGAUCUGGCACUCGGCAAAGAAUAUUUUAAAAUUUUAAAAAAAUCUUUGCCGAGUGCCGGAUCACGGGCACUCGGCAAAGAAACUAACUUUAACCGGCCGCGCGGCCGGCUUUCUUCUUCCUUCUGCUUUGCUUCUUCUUUCUUCUUCCUUCCCGCGCCUCACCGCCGCCGCCUUCCCACGCCUCACCGCCGGCCGCCUCACCGCCGCCCGCCUCACCGCCGCCGGCCUCCCCACGCCUCACCGCCGGCCGCGCCCGGCCGCCCGCGCCCCACCGCCCGCGCCCCACCGCCACCGUUCGCCCGCCUCACCGCCGCCCACGCGCCGUCGUCCGCCCGCUCGCCUCCGGUACGUAAGUUUAUCACAUGUUUAUUAGUGGCAGCCCAUAAUUAGCUUAAAGCUAGGAGGCUCCUUGGCCUCGUGCGGUCGGAGCUCGAGGUGGAGGAGCCUGCAAGCGGCAGCGGGGCAAGGGGCAGGGGCAGGGGCAGCGGGGAGUAGCUUGUGAGACGGUGGUGGUGGUGGCAUACCAGGGUUGAGCGCGCGGGCGAACAGGAGCACCGAAGAGGAGCCUGCAGCGGUGGUGUUGGGGGCAUGAGGCAGCGUGAGGAGUUACGGAUUUCCCAUCGCAUGGGGAGACUGAUAUUUGCCAGCUCCUAGAUUAGGCUAGCCAGCUCGCUGAUCCGGCCUUCCCAACGGCGGUCCAGGUCGUCGUCCACCUCCAGGUCCGAUCCUGCCCCUUCUGCAGCCACCCGGGCAGCGUCCAGUGCGACAUCUUUCUCAAGGAACGUCGGCCGUUCGCCGUGGCUGCGGUUGGUAGGGUCCAGUGCGACAUCUUUCUCAAGGAACGGCGCGUAGGGGACGACGGCGGAGGGGAGAGGGAGGCGGUGGUGGUACUGGUGGUGCACGACGGGCGGGUCGGGUCGGCACCGCCAGUCGAUGAAAAGCCUGCCGCGCGCCGCCUCGCUGAUGCCGCGGCCGAAGGAGUCCGUGUCCCCGGCGUCGAGGCGCUUCUCCUUGACGAAGCGGCUCCAGCCCUUGGUCAUCACGUAGCUCUGGCUACUGUUCCAGUAGGAGUAGCGGUAGCGCCAGGGCUUCCCCGUGCGGUCCUCGAAGCUGAGCAGGAGGCCCUUCUCGUUCGCCGCCGCGUCCAGCGGGAAGUACUUCUCCGCGUGCUGCUUCGGGAUCACCAGCCGGUUCAGCUUCCCGACGUCGCUCGGCGUCACCACCUUGUCGAACAUGUGCUCCUUCUCCACCGUCGCAUGCUGCUGCUGGUGGUGCUGGUUGUGCUCAGCAGCCGCCCUCUCCUCUCCGCCGCCCGACCGGGUCGCGGGCGGGGGAGUGGUGAACUCCAUCGAUCUCCGAUCGACGACCGGCGAUCGGUUGAGAUCGAGGCAGCAAGUCGAACGUAGGCCGUAGACGCCGGCCGAUCGAUCGACGCUGCUGCCGCUACCGCCUCCGCGUUGAGACUUUGGCCGUAGCUGCCUCGAGUCUGGGUGUGUUGAGGCCCGGGAACGAUAGCUCUUUUGGCCGGGAGGUGCUGUCGAUUUUUUUUUGUAUUAAUAGACUUGUGUUUCUUUUUUACAGAGAAGAUACUUGUCUUCCUAGCCGCUGCGGGUCUGCCUGCACCGCGUCGCGUCGCCACUGCACCGACCCGCCACAGCCCCACUAGCCUGACUCCACCGCCACCCUAGGUAUAACCUCUAUUUCCGCAUCAUGGUCGUAGAUCACGUAACCCAGUUAGGCGUCUCCCGUUCGAAAGUGAUACGGUGUAGAUAUGCAGAUCUUUGCAUAUCUACAAAUGUAUCAGUUUCGAAUUGUCCACGUUUUUUGGACAGCCCGCGGUUGCGUAGAUGGUGUUAGUUUCCAUGGUCUACUCCGGUCCGAGAAAGAGUUUCGGCGUCACCUCCCUGUUGUUCUCCGGACAGUACACUCUCCCUGCCAGGACGUGUAUCCGGAGAACAGCGGGGAGGUGCUGCCGAAAUUCUAUCUCGGAUCGGAGUAGAGCAUGGAAACUAACUCCAUCUACGCAACCGCGGGUGGGAUUAGGACCUAUCCUCACCUAUUAGAAGGUAGGAACGUAGUGUACAUGCAUUACAUGUCUAUAUUAAACUAUACUCGGUUAUAUAUGUUAGAGGAUGGAGGACCAUGAGUGGAUGUACACGGGCCGCGUUCGACGUAAUGAUGUCACCCCAGAAUGGAUUAGGAAGACCGAUGCUUUCGUGGAACGGGCAUAUGGCGAAGCUGCUAAAGGAGCUAGCCUAGUCCCUUGUCCGUGCAGCAAAUGUGACAACCGGAAAAGAAAACCAAAGAAGGCCAUGGUAGAACAUAUUUGGAAGAAUGGAUUUACGCCGGACUAUACUCGGUGGAUCUUCCAUGGUGAAGCGCAUCGCACGAGAGAGGAGGUGGUGAGACAACGCGUCGAGGAUUACGAUGCUGAUGCCGGGGUAGCAGACAUGUUGAACGACUAUCACGAGGCACAGUUCGCCGAAGGACGUACGGAGGACGAGCCAGAGGCGACCGCAAAGGCAUUCUACGACAUGUUUGACGCGGCACAGAAACCCCUUCACGGCAAGACAAAGGUUUCUCAACUGGAUGCCAUUGGGCGUAUAAUGGCGUUGAAGUCGCAGUAUAGCAUGAGUCGAGACGCCUUCGAUGGUUUGUUGACAGUUAUUGGCAGCCUGCUUCCGGAGGAUCACGUUCUGCCAAAGAGCAUGUACGAGGCACAGAAACUCCUUCGUGCACUCAAGAUGACGUAUGAGCAGAUACAUGCUUGUCCGAAGGGCUGCGUCCUAUUUAGGAAAGAACACACUGAGGCAAAGUACUGUCCGAAGUGUAAAUCGUCUAGGUUCAUGGAGGUAGACUCUGGUGAUGGACAGAAGAAGCAGCUCGACAUCCCCGUGACAAUCCUACGCCACCUUCCGUUCAUACCGAGGAUCCAGCGUCUAUACAUGACAGAGGAAUCCGCGAAACAGAUGACAUGGCACAAAAAAGGCAAACGAUACAAUCCUGACAAGAUGGUUCACGCAUCCGAUGGUGAAGCAUGGACCCACUUUGAUGCCAUUCACCAUGAGAAAGCCAAAGAGGCUCGACAUGUUCGUGUUGCGCUGGCCACAGAUGGGUUCAGUCCCUAUGGAAUGACCGCUGCCCCAUACACAUGUUGGCCCGUGUUCGUUAUCCCCAUCAAUCUCCCCCCGGCGUAUGCUUUCAAAGACAGAACAUAUUCGUGUCGUUGAUAAUUCCUGGACACCCGGGGAAUAAAAUGGGCGUGUACAUGGAGCCUUUGAUUGAUGAAUUGGUCCGUGCUUGGGAGGAAGGGGUAUGGACGUACGACCGAGCUACGAAGACAAACUUCAAAAUGCAUGUUUGGUACCAGUACUCCAUGCAUGACUUUCCGGCGUAUGGGCUAUUUUGCGCCUGGUGUGUUCACGGUAAGUUCCCAUGCCCAGUUUGCAAGGAAGCUCUUAGGUUCAUUUGGUUGAAGAAGGGUGGCAAAUAUUCGUCAUUCGAUAAACAUCGACAAUUUCUCCCUCCUGACCAUGCAUUCCGACAAGACAUCAAGAACUUUACGAAAGGUGUCGUGGUGACAGACCGCCCACCUGCAAUGAUGACUGGUGCCGAAGUUCGCGAACAGAUAGAUGGUCUCGUGGCCAACCCAGAAGGUGGUUUUGUGGGAUAUGGUGAGCAACAUAUGUGGACACAUAAGUCGGGCUUGACUCGGCUCCCCUAUUAUGAUGACCUGCUCCUUCCACACAACAUUGACGUGAUGCACACUGAAAAGAAUGUCGCCGAGGCACUUUGGGCGACAAUUAUGGAGAUUCCUGAUAAGUCAAAGGAUAACGUAAAGGCAAGAGUGGAUCUGGCAGAGUUAUGUGAUAGACCAAACCAAGAGAUGAAGCCGCCUAGUGGUGGUAAGACAUGGAGAAGGCCUAAGGCCGAUUUCGUCCUGAGCAGGGCCCAGAGGAAGGAAGUACUACAGUGGAUCAAGAUGUUAAUGUUCCCUGAUGGGUAUGCAGCUAACCUUAGUAGGGGGGUGAACUUAUCUACUCUGCGAGUCUUAGGGAUGAAGAGUCAUGACAUCCACAUAUGGAUUGAACGAAUUCUUCCGGCGAUGGUUCGAGGCUAUGUCCCUGAGCAUGUCUGGCUAGCGCUUGCAGAGUUGAGCUAUUUCUUCCGCCAGCUUUGUGCAAAAGAGUUAGCUCGGACCAUGAUUGCAGACUUGGAAAGGAUGGCACCCGUGUUACUGUGUAAGCUGGAGAAGAUCUUUCCACCCGGCUUCUUCAAUCCGAUGCAGCAUUUGAUUAUUCAUCUCCCAUAUGAGGCACGAAUGGGGGGGCCCGUGCAGGGACGUUGGUGCUAUCCAAUCGAGAGAUGUCUAAAGAGUAUCCGAAAGAAAUGUAGAAAUAAAUGCAAAAUCGAGGCUUCCAUUGCAGAGGCAUACAUACUGGAGGAGGUGUCAAACUUCACAACAACUUACUAUGGUGACAAACUGCCGAGCGUGCAUAAUACACCCCCUCGUUACAAUGAUGGCGGCAAUGAAUCGAACCUCAGCAUUUUUCGAGGGCAACUCGGAAGCGCGAGUGGUUCGACCACCAAGACCCUGAGACAUGAAGAGUGGCGCCAUAUCAUGCUAUAUGUAUUGACCAACCUUGAAGAGGUGACGCCAUACAUGGAGCAAUUUCUUCAUGAAUUCUGGCGUCGAUCAAGGGACCCAACUCCACAGGAAUAUGAUACCCUUCUUAGAAAGGGUGCGGGAAAUGGAUUGCCCGAUUUCAUUUCCUGGUUUAAACAUAAGGUACGUGCUUAGUUUGUUAUUCCAAGUUGCUCUUACGUGCGAAUAAUAUAACAAUCUAGCGUGUUUGAACUUGCAGGGCCAAAGAGAGCCGUCUAUGAGUGCCGAGUUGAGACAAGUAGCCAAUGGCUUUGCCUAUAGGGUCAGGAAAUUUUCUGGGUAUGACAUCAAUGGAUACCGUUUUCGCACAACAAGCUACGACCAAAGUCGGCCCAAUUGAAAAACCACGUGUUCUGGAGUCUUUACGCCCGGGCUUGACGAGGUCGAGUAUUAUGGAAGAAUUGAAGAAAUAUAUGAACUCAAUUUUUAUGGUUCCAAACCUCUUACUCCAGUGAUAUUCAAAUGUCAUUGGUUUGACCCUGAAGUUACGAGACGGACACAUUCUAAUCUUGGGAUAGUCGAAAUUCGACAGGAUUCCACCUUAACAGGAGACGAUGUCUACAUUGUGGCCCAACAGGCCACACAAGUGUAUUAUCUUCCAUAUGCGUGCCAAACGAAACAACAUCUUAAGGGUUGGGAUGUUGUGUAUAAGGUAUCACCGCACGCUAAAUUACCUGUUCCAAACGAUGAAGAUUAUAACUUAGACCCGGACACAUAUGACGGAGAGUUCUUCCAAGAAGAUGGGCUCGAAGGGCAAUUUGAGAUAGACUUAACCGAAGCGAUCGGAAUGGAAGUAGAUAUUGAAAUGGUUGUUGAUGACGAGGAUGAUGAGGUGCAAAAUGAGAAUGACUUAGAAAUACUUGAAGGCAAUGCCAAUGACGAAGUUGCGCCUUCAGAUGAUGUUGACUAUGAAAUGGUUGAUAGUGAUGAUGACACUUAUGAUCCGGCUAACCCGGACACAUAUGAAGAUUAUUUUUAAUCGAUGUAAUGCUAUAUUUCAUUUAUUUUGCAUAUGUUUCUAAAUACAUAUUUUUUUAUCUGUGCUUAAUUGUUUACUCUUAAUUGCAGGUUGUUGGACAAAGAUGGUUGGCGGUGGGACGAGGACGAGGAGGGGGAGGGGGAGGGGGAGGAGGAGCACCCGUAGGACGGAGGAGGAGGCGCAGCAGGACGACGCCGUACAGCAGCAGGUGGAGCAGCAAGCCGCUGUCGAUGCGGCACAGCAGGACGACGACGAUGCGGCGCAGCAGGACGACGACGACGACGACGCCGCUCAGCAGGACGUCUCAGGUUCUGGCUCCUCAGGUUCGAGGAGUAUCUACCUGCGAGGUCCCGCGAGCCUACCUAAGCGACCCAUACUUCGUGACAGACGUCCGCUCAUACGACCCGAUGGAGAGAGGUAGGUAACUUUAGAUGUUGUUGCUGCUUUUUCAUAUUAUAUGUUCAAAUUAAUAAUAGAAACUAAUACUUCAUCUUAAUCACUUUCGACAGGUCUUGGAUGAUUUUGGAGACUGCAGGGGGUCACGGCCGCAACCCCAAUGGCAUCCUCGGCCUUCUAUGCCGGGAACACUUCCCUGGGCUUGUCGAGUACGCCGGAGUGACGAGCCCAGCAUACACCUUCGACCACUACGCUGUCGCCCCCGAUGCAGUAGAUCGGGACGGCAGACAAUUCAACAACAAGGCGGAGCGGGUCAAGCAAGAGCUGUGGGUAAGUCUUCCUCGCACUAUAUUGUUUAAUAAGUCGCAUUUGUUGCAUAUUCUUUAAAUAAUGUAUGGAUACAUCGUCUUUGUAUGUAGGAUUUCUUCAGGUGCGAUGCUGGAUACGAGGCCAGGGCGGAUGUGGUGUCUACGACGUGCUGUAAGAAGCUCGUCGUGGACAUGCACUACGAGGCGCGCAUCCAGGCCAUCGUCACUUACCACGGCUCCGUCCUUGGGGAGAAGGUGAACAAGAAGGACGCCCGAACCAUGUCAUUGACUGCGGACCAGUACUUGCAGGUAAAUACAAAACUUUAUUAUUGGUACUAAAUAUGCUUAUUCUUAUCUUCUGAUAUGCGGUGUACUUAUAUUUUUUUAGAUGAUUCCUCAUUGGUGCGCCGCGCAUCCUGAGUGCUGGGAGAAGAUGGUGCAGAGGUGGUGCUCGGCUGAGUGGGACGAGGCGCACAACGCUAGCCGGGAACGGCGUUUGCUGAUGCAAGGUCCCUCCCACCAUCAAGGCAGCCGCAGCCUGGGCAAAUACGCGGAAGCAUGGGUACGCGCUCUUUUUUAUUUAGGUAUAUAACUUUCGAUUAGACAUGAUUUCUAACCAUAUCGUUGGUUUUCUCGCAGUCGGCGGCACAUGGUGGCGCGCCUUGCUCCACGUUCUCGGCAUAUGCCAUGGCCCACAAGGGGAAGGCGACGUCCGACGUCACCUACAACCCGGAUGACGGGCCCGAGGCGUACACCAACCCCGCCAUCCACAGCCGACUCAGUGAGUACACCGCAAUGGCCAAGGAGGUCCAUGGGCCAGAUUACGAUCCGAGGACCGAGGACAUCGACGGAGAUGUCCUCAUGAGGGUCGGAGGAGGCAAGAGGCAUGGGCGGUACUGGAUUGCCGACGGGGCAAUCGACUCGUCCUCCACUCCCACUCUCUCUCAGGUGCGAGCAAGGAGCACGAGCGCGAGCCCAGCCAUACGACCUCGGCAGGACACCUCACAGCAUCGUAUCCAGCAACUCCAGGUUAUUCCUUAUCUAUUCACCGUUCAUUAAUUUUUAUAUAUCUUCUCUUUGCAUUAUCGUAACAUUAGGGCAAAAUAUUACAGACUCAGCUAGAUGAUGAGAGGAGGCAACGUGAGGAGCUGGAGAAGAGGAUGGCGGAGAUGUUCGCGUACAUGCAGAGCCUUGGCGCCGCACAGGGUCAUGCUCCACCACCUCCGUUGUUCCCUGCAACUGACCCUGCUGAGUUCACUACUCCUGUGAGUAUCAAAAUUUUAGUACCGCAUGAUAUAUAUUCAUAUGUUCUCACACAUACAAUCUAUUCUCUAUGAAGGGUCAAUCGGCGGCGUCGAACAACCCUCAUGCUUCGUCCAGCCCUUCGCCGAACCAGUCCAGAUGCCCACCUCGUUGAUGAUCCAGACUUGGUCUUGUGAGUGUUGGUGAUGUUUGGCUAGUGACACUUUGUGAUAUAUAUGUGACGGUUGGUGAUGUUUGGCUAGUGAUCCAGACUUGGUAAAUACACAUACUUAUAUUUGUGAGACUUAUAUUAGUGACACUUUGUGAUAUAUAUGGUGUUGAUGAUAAAUGUGUUCAUUCUGUGAUGCGAUUGAUAUAUAAUGUGAUGUGAAUGAUAUAUAUCUUUUGUUUGUUUGGAUGGAACAGCAAAAACAAAUAAAAAAGGGACAUCCUGGUCACUUUGCCGAGUGUAACACUCGGCAAAGGGUUCUUUGCCGAGUGCUAUGACCAUGGCACUCGGCAAAGAAGGCAACCUGGGAACCGGUAAAGCCGUCUUUGCCGAGUGCUGACAAUGGCACUCGGCAAAGAAGGCAACCUGGGAACCGGCAAAGACAUCUUUGCCGAGUGCUGAAAAUGGCACUCGGCAAAGAAGGAAACCUGGGAACCGGCAAAGAUGUCUUUGCCGAGUGCCACUGCCAAGGCACUCGGCAAAGGGACUGGCAAAGGGGCCCACUAGAGGGUUCUUUGCCGAGUGCCAGUUCACCAGACACUCGGCAAAUAAACCUCCUUUGCCGAGUGUCGCCGUGGGCACUCGGCGAAGGAUCCGUCACCGUCACUUGGCGCCGUGACGGUGACUUUUCUUUGCCGAGUGCCAAAUGGCACUCGGCAAAGUCUUUGCCGAGUGCCCGACAAAAAGUACUCGGCAAAGAUGCUGUUGCCGAUGUACAGUUCGCCGAGCGUUCUUUGCCGAGUGUUACACUCGGCAAAGCAUUUGCCGAGUGUAAAAUAGCCUUUGCCGUGUGUCUCAGACACACGGCAAAGAAGCUGAUUCCGGUAGUGUUUGGGGGGCGACUAACACAAAUCGAUGACCUUUGAUGAAGAUGGAUGUAUUUCUCCCACAAAAUCUUGGAUCCAUCCUCUACUAUGAAAAGUCAUGAAUUCACAAGACGUUUUCGAAAACAAUUUCAGCUUCACUUGUAAAGUUGCUUGUGCGGCUGAAGCCAAGAAAACAUUAGAGGACAAACAAUAACUUACUAUGCUUUUCGUGAACUGUUUCAGACCAGCAGUAAUAAUUAUUGGUCCUACAUGCAUUAAUGGAUAAGCGGCUAGCAUGCCAAGACGGAGCAUUAGUUAGGAGAUAAGACCUAGCGUUUCAUUGCAUCCCCAUGAAAGGAAUACUAUCACUACUGCAUGAAUAAUUUUCAAAUGUAUUAAAAACUGAUAUUGAAAUGUAGGUAAUCUGUCCGCCUAUGUGAAAUGUUUAACAGAGGCAGCCACUCUAGGAUGUUGCCUCUAUUAAUUACUCAUAGAUGCAGCCAUCCAACUCUAGGAUUUCAAUUAGUCUCAAUCUAUGCAUUCGUCUAUGCAUUCUAGGAUUACAAUUAGUCUCAAUCUUGUAGUAUUUGUUCCUUCCUUGUCAAAUCACUUCUCAUCUAACUACUAUGCUUGUUUAACCAUCAGAACAUAACUACAACAACAUCCAUUUAUAAAGGCUUCGAUAGCAAACUUUACAUAUUCAUAUCAUGUUAAGGUUGUCACAUGUGUAAAGGUGAAGAGAUCAUGCAUGUCAUUCCACGUAGAUAAAAAGAAUGCCUAUAUAAAAAUGGCACAUUUUCUUGUAGGUAGUGGAAAGUAUCUUUCCAGCAAAGACCAUAUAAUCCGAUAAAGCUGAUAACUAAAUGUCGAAAUCGAGUAGAUGCCAUAUCAUCUAUACCUUAUCUGUUGUUUGGAAAAAAAAAAGACAAAAUCCAAAAAAAAAUAUAAGAGAUCUCACCUAUAUAAAUAGCUCUGAAAUCAGUAGUUAAUCCAUCACCCAUAAUAUUUUGAGCAUUCAGAAACACACCAAGCGAAGCGCACUAGCAACGACCUAACAACAAUGGCUACCAAGAUAUUAGCCCUCCUUGCGCUUCUUGCCCUUUUUGUGAGCGCAACAAAUGCGUUCAUUAUUCCACAAUGCUCACUUGCUCCUAGUGCCAUUAUUCCACAGUUCCUCCCACCAGUUACUUCAAUGGGCUUCGAACACCUAGCUGUGCAAGCCAACAUGCAACAACAAGCGCUUGCGGCGAGCGUCUUACAACAACCAAUUGCCCAAUUGCAACAACAAUCCUUGCCACAUCUAACAAUACAAGCCAUCACAACGCAACAGCAACAACAGUUCCUACCAGCACUGAGCCACCUAGCCAUGGUGAACCCUGCCGCCUACUUGCAAGAGCAGCUGCUUGCAUCCAACCCACUUGCUCUGGCGAACGUAGUUGCAAACCAGCAACAACAACAGCUACAACAGUUUCUGCCAACGCUCAGUCAACUAGCCAUGGUGAACCCUGCCGCCUACGUACAACAACAACAACUGCUUUCAUCUAGCCCGCUCGCUGUGGGCAAUGCACCUACAUACCUGCAACAACAAUUGUUGCAACAGAUUGUACCAGCUCUGACUCAACUAGCUGUGGCAAACCCUGUUGCCUACUUGCAACAGCUGCUUCCAUUCAACCAACUGACUCUGUCGAACUCUGCUGCGUACCUACAACAGCGACAACAGUUACUUAAUCCAUUGGUAGUGGCUAACCCAUUGGUCGCCGCCUUCCUACAGCAGCAACAAUUGCUGCCAUACAACCAGUUCUCUUUGAUGAAUCCUGUCUUGUCGAGGCAGCAACCCAUCGUUGGAGGUGCCAUCUUUUAGAUUACAUAUGAGAUGUACUCGAUAAUGGUGCCCUCAUACCGACGUGUGUUUCCUAGAAAUAAUCAAUAUAUUGAUUGAGAUUUAUCUCGAUAUAUUUCUGAACUAUGUUCAUCAUAUAAAUAAUUGAAAACAUCAAAUCGUAAUUAUAAACUCAUGCUUGGUCAAUACAUAGACAAUGCGAUAUUACUUCAGCAUCCCAAUGAUGUCCUAGCCCAACCUCUUGAAUGUUACUGUUUUAAUGUGUGACGGUAUAUUUAUAAGAUAGACGUGACUAUUUGCGCUUUUUUGAGUACAUACAUAUAUGGUAUGUUGAUUUGAUAUAGUGAUGGACACAUGCUUAACCAUUAAUAUUCAAAUCAGUUGUACUUGCAUGGAGCAAAACAUAAUAUAAGUUUAGGAGUACACUUAUAACUGUGUCCAAACAUGCUCACACAAAUUCAUACCACAUUAUAAUGUUUUGGUAAAUAUUCCACACAUGUAUUUUUUACAACUCAAUUUUGCAGACAAAUGCAGCAUUGUAGACAUGUAGAAUUCUUUGAAGCCCGUGAACUAACAACACCAAGGUCAUUAAAUCAACCGGACCCUAUGAGUAACAAUUUCGAUAUUGCAAACACCAAAUUAUAGAACUUAUUGGCUGAAAAAAUUAUGAGCAAUGUGAAGUUUAAAUUAUUAUACCAUAAAUAUAUCAAAGAACUUUUUUUGAGGAACGUAAAAAUUGCAUGGAAUGGGCAGCCCAACAUGCUAGCUCACUUCUAUGCUAGGUAGCAUUACCAAAGAUGAAAAUGUUGCUGAUGAACGCCAAACCCACUCAAAUAAUAUUUAUAUUUGGGUUGUUUAGUUGUAAAAGUGAAGACCCAAGAUAAAAGUACCAAUUGUCCAAUGACAUUCAAUUAUUUUGUUCGGGGAGCACUUGGUGCGUCAUUUGGACUCAUAUCUUAGUCCAAUAGAUUGCAUUUUCCUUCAAUUUGUAGAAUCCGACAAAGUGCAUGUUCUAAAAUUGUAAAUCUAACUAAAUUAGAAAGCUUGUUACUAAUUUGAUGGUUUGUUAGGUGUAGCUCGUAAAACUAGAACCAACAUAGCUUGCACUCACAUGUCAAAGGAAAUUGGAGUAUCCAAGCACAAUUUGUGUGAGCAUCCAUGACACUGUUAUAAAUGAAUGCGACACAAAUAGGAUCAAUCACAGAGAAGACACGAAUUUAACGUGGAAAACCCCUCCAAAGUGAAGGGGAAAAAACCACGGGCGCCGGCCGGCAACUUCUCACUAUUUUUGGGUGGUUACAGAUCGCAGGAGAUUUACAAUUGAGAUAGAUAUCUCCUGCGGCUUACAAAGAUAUUUAUAGAGGUGAAACCCUAAAACGAUCGCCUCCCGGCGACGGGCCUCCGCUUCGCUCGCCAACUUGGCCGCCUUCUUCAGAAUUUGGAUCACAAACUCAACAAACUCCACCUUGAGACAAAUACCUUGUAGCAUCAUAAUAGCAACCUCCACCUUAAACAAAUGCAUCAUCAUCUUGCCGGCGCCAACAGCCACUAAGGGCUAAUUUAUAAUACCAACUAAGUUUGAGCAUAGCUCAAACUUAGCAACAGAAACAUGCUUCGUCAUCACAUCAGCUGGAUUAUUAUCAGUACUGAUCUUGCAUACCUUCACCAACCCUUUUUCAAUGAUAUCACGAAUGAAGUGAUAACGAAUAUCAAUAUGUUUGGAUUUCUCAGUAAUCAUCUGAUCUUUGGUGAGAUGAAUGGCACUCUGGCUAUCACAAUAGAUGGUAAUGCAAGACUUAAUUCCACAUAGCUCUGAAUAUAUACCUUUCAACCAUAAGGCUUCCUUAGUAACUUCUGCAAUUGCCAUAUAAUCAGCUUCUAUGGUAGACAAAGCAACAGUAUCCUGUAAACGAGCUUUCCAACUCACAGCACAAUCUCCAAUAGUAAAGACAUAACCUGAAAGAGAUCUCCUCCUGUCUAAAUCACCACCAUAAUCUGAAUCAACAUAGCUAAUCAGCCCAUCUCCAGAUUUACCAAAACAUAAACAAGCACUAGAAGAACCACGUAGAUAUCUGAAAAUCCACUGAACAGCUUUCCAAUGCUCUUUACCAAGAUUAGACAUGUAUCUAGCAACAACGCUCGUAGCAUGAGACAAAUCAGGACGAGAACAAACCAUAGCAUACAUGAGUGACCCAACAACACUAGAGUAUGGAACUUUUGACAUAUAUUCAAGCUCAGCAUCAGUUUCAGCACACUGUUUAGCAGACAGUUUAAAAUGAGGAGCCAACGGAGUACUCACAGGUUUAGUAUUUUGCAUGUUGAAACGACGAAGGACCUUCUCAAUAUAAUUCUUCUGGCUCAAGUACAGCAGUCCAGACUUCCUAUCCCUGACUAUCUCUAUGCCAAGGAUUUUCUUUGCAGCACCCAGAUCCUUCAUAUCAAAUUCGCUACUAAGUUGUGCCUUUAAAGCAGUGAUUUCCUUCAUGCUCUUGGCAGCAAUCAACAUAUCAUCAACAUAUAGCAGCAAAUAUGUAGGUGAUCCAUUAACAAAUUUUAGAUAAACACAACUAUCAUAUUGAGACUUCUGAAAGCCCUUAGAAAGCAUAAAUGAAUCAAACCUCUUAUACCAUUGUCUGGGAGAUUGUUUCAGACCAUAUAAGGACUUCUUCAAGCUGCACACAUAGUCUUCUUUUCCAGGAACAAUGAACCCCUCUGGCUGGUCCAUAUAAAUGUCUUCCUCCAAAUCACCAUGUAAGAAAGCAGUUUUCACAUCUAACUGUUCAAGCUCAUAGUCAUGUAUAGCAACAAGACUAAGAAAGGUACGAAUUGAACUAUGCUUGACAACAGGAGAAUAGACAUCAGAGUAAUCAAUUCCUGGAAUCUGACUAAAACCUUUUGCAACUAGCCUUGCUUUAAAGCGCGGAGGCUCUUUUGGAGUCAUACCUUCUUUUCUUUUGAAGAUCCAUUUGCACUUAAUUGCCUUUUUACCAGAAGGCAGCCGAGCUAGUUCCCAAGUGCCAUUCUUAUCAAGAGACUCCAUUUCUUCAUGCAUAGCACCCAUCCACUUUUCACUAUCAGUAGACAAUAUAGCUUCUGAAUAAUUCAAUGGUUCCUGAAUAUUAUCAACUUCUUCAGCAACAGCCAAAGCAAAAGCAACAUUGCACUCUUGAAUCAGUCUUUGGGGCCGAACUAUCUGCCUCCUAGUUCGGCCUUCAGCAAGAGACUGGGGAUGAGACUCCACAACAGGUGAUGAAAUUUCAGAAACAGAAUUUUCAGCAGGUUCAGCAGAUGGUGGAGCAUGAUCAUCAACAUCCCCCCCCCCCCCCGUGCUCCACCUGCACACUGAUAGACUCAGAAUUCUGGUUAGUAGCACUGGUAGAUACAACCGAAGGGAACAUAGCAGAUUCAUUGAACACAACGUUUCUACUAAAAAAUGCCUUCUGUGUAUCAGGAUUCCACAAUUUAUAUGCUUUAACACCAGAUCCAUAACCCAAGAAAACACACUUAAUUGCUCUAGGCUCAAGUUUACCAUUAUCAACAUGUGCAUAUGCAGUACAACCAAACACUCUCAACUGAGAAUAAUCAUAGGGGGAACCAGACCAAACCUCAAUUGGAGUUUUCUUAUCGAUAGCAGUGGAUGGUGAACAAUUGAUCAAAUGACAAGCAGUGGAAGCGGCCUCAGCCCAAAACUUUCGGCUCAAACCUAAGUUGGACAACAUACACCGAGCCUUGGAGAUUAUUGUUCUAUUCAUACGCUCUCCCACACCGUUCUGCUGAGGCGUAUAUGGUAUAGUGUGGUGCCUCACAAUGCCCUCCUUCCUGCAGAAAGAGUUAAAAUCACCAGAACAAAACUCCAUACCAUUGUCAGUUCUCAGAACCUUCAGCUUCCUCUCAGUCUGCUUCUCAACCAUAGUCUUCCAAACCUUGAAAGACUCAAAGGCAUCUGAUUUUUGCUUAAGAAAAUAAGGCCAAACUCUGCGUGAAUUAUCAUCAAUGAUAGUCAACAUGUAACGAGCACCACCAUGUGAAGGUAUACGUGACGGCCCCCACAAAUCAGCAUGAACAUAAUCAAGAAUAUUUUCUGUAUUAUGAACAGCAGAACUGAAUUUUACCCUUUUAUGCUUACCGAAAACACAGUGCUCACAAAAAUCAAGAGUAUCAGCAUGGCAACCAUCAAGAAGGCCUCUCUUGCUCAAUUCUGCCAAACCAGGUGCACUCAUAUGGCCAAGUCGCAUAUGCCAAAUUUUAGUAGUCUCAGAAUCAGAUGCAACAACAGCAUUAGCAGAGCCAGAACUACCUCGAAGCACAUAUAAGUUUUCAGCUUUCAAAUCACCUUUAAUAACCACAAGAGAGCCUUUUGUUACCUUUAUGACACCGUCACCGGCGGUAUACUUGUAGCCCUUUGUGUCCAGAGUACUCAGAGAGAUGAGGUUCCUGGACAUGGAUGGAACAUGUCGUACUUCAGUCAAUGUGCGUACAAUCCCAUCGAACAUCUUGAUCUGCAGGGUGCCCAUGCCAACAACAGUGCAAGGGGAAUUAUCACCCAUCCGAAGAGUACCUCCGUUCUGCACAGCUUCAUAGGUACUAAACAGAGAUUUUUUAGUGCAAACAUGAUACGAGCAAGCAGAAUCGAGGAUCCAUUGGGCAUCAUCAGCAGCACAACCAGCAAAGGCAAUAAGAACAUCACCAUUAUCAGAAUUAUUUUCGGAUGCAACAGAGACAGUACCUCCAGUCUUACCCUUCUCCUUGUUCCUCUUCUCCUUGUUCUGCAGUUUGUAACAGUUCUCAAUUACAUGGUUCGUCUUCUUGCAGUAUUUGCAAAAAAAUUCAUCAGAUGGCCCCCUUGACUUGGAGCGACCCCUCUGGUUCUUCCCCUUUCCUUUGCCACCUGAGUUGUACUUUUUCUGAUCAGUGCGGCCACGGACAUACAAAGCUUCUCCACUCGAGCCAGCAGCAUCUUCCGAGUUAACCAUCUGUCUCAUCUUUUCUUUCGCAGUCAAAGCUUCAUACACUUCAGCCACGGUUAGAGUAUCACGAUUGUAUAGGAUGGUAUCUCGAAAAUUGCUAAACGAUGCAGGGAGGGAACACAGGAGAAGAAGAGCUAGGUCUUCAUCAUCAAACUUUACCUCCAUAGACGUCAGAUCGGCCACGAUCUCCUUAAACACCGAUAUGUGCGUCAGAACGGAUCCUCCUUCCUGCAACUUGUGGGAGAACAACUUCAUUUUGACAUGCAUCUUGCUGGUCAGAUCCUUUGACAUACAGAUCGACUCCAGCUUCAACCAGAGAGCAGCGACAGUUUUCUCCGCCAGAACCUCCUGCAGAAUAUUGUUAGACAGAUGAAGGUGAAUAUGUGCGAGCGCCUUACGAUCCUUGCGCCUCUCCUCAUCAGUCCACGUCCUGGCAUCCUUGUUGCCAAAUCCAUCUAGGGCAUCAUCCAGGUCGCGAUCAGAUUGCGAGAGAAUUGCCCGCAUCUUCACCUGCCACAGCGAGAAACGCGUGUCGAGAUCCAGCAGUGGAAGAUCGUACUUCAUUGUCGUCGACAUCCGUGCGCCGGCAGGAAACCCUAGCACACCGAUCAACAAACAACCAAAGCUCCGAUACCACUUGUUAUAAAUGAAUGCGACACAAAUAGGAUCAAUCACAGAGAAGACACGAAUUUAACGUGGAAAACCCCUCCAAAGUGAAGGGGAAAAAACCACGGGCGCCGGCCGGCAACUUCUCACUAUUUUCGGGUGGUUAUAGAUCGCAGGAGAUUUACAAUUGAGAUAGAUAUCUCCUGCGGCUUACAAAGAUAUUUAUAGAGGUGAAACCCUAAAACGAUCGCCUCCCGGCGACGGCCUCCGCUUCGCUCGCCAACUUGGCCGCCUUCUUCAGAAUUUGGAUCACAAACUCAACAGACACAAAUUAUAUAUAGACUGAUAUAAUUAAUUCCUUCAAAAAUAAAAAAAGGAAAAAAUAAAUUGUUUUUUGAUACUGCAGGAUAUCUCUUUAGCUAAUGAGGAGUACUAAAAAUAUGUUGCACUUUUGGGUGGCAAGAAUUCCUCAAUCAUAACUUUGACAUAAUUUUAAUCCGGAUCACAUAUAUAUCAUCAUAUCUUAAUUAUUAAAUUAAUAUGGUUGCAUCAUCGUAUUAUUAAUUCAAUCCGAUAUAACCAUCAGAGCUUAAUUAUUUAAUUAAUCUAGAGCGUACAUUAGAUUAUCAAACCAAAUCAACCUGACAUAACCAUCGAAUGUUCCGCUAUGCACCUUAAGCGCAUGGUCUGGGGCUUAAUCAUCCGGAAUAACCAUCCAAUCUUCUGGUAAGCAUAGUAAGCGUAUGGUUCACGGCUUCGUCAUCCGGAAUAACCAUCAGAUUUUCCGGCAUGCAAUGAAAGCAAAUGAUUCGUGGUUUUUGUAGGGGAAACGUUGUUAGGUGAAUGCGGAUGCUGGCUGAUGUUGCACGUGCGAACUGUUGUGUGGAAGCUGCUAGGUCCUCCUCUAUUGUGUGUGGCUUGUGGCGGGCUUGGACUGCUCUCAUGGCUUCGGCGCUUGGAACUGCUCGUCCGUCUGGUCCUGCGUGCAUCUCUCUCUCUCUCCUGGCUGGAGGCGUGGUGGCCUGGCAGCUUCUCUGUGUUUUUCUUUUUACGACAGCUUCUCGUGUUAGCUAGGGUUAGCGUCAGGGGCCCGGUCAGCUAUGCUCCCUCAGCUUUUAUAGGCAUCGCACCACAGCAGGUAGAGCAGAGAUAAAGAUUCCAACCGCAUCCAUCUACAAACAAGGCUCUCGGCGGAAGGGAUAAAAGCAUGCAGCGCAAUUGCUGCUGCCGUGUUGUGGCCUUGACUCUCGUCAAUUGGAUGACCAAAAGAUGCCACCGUCGCAGCUGCCUGUUUGUCACCAACACAAAAUUGUAGGUGCCUGUUUGUCACCAAUUAUCCUCUACCACAAAGAACUACAAUAGUGAUGGAGGAUCCGAUCCUGCACAGAUACACUAUAAUGCAUAGUGGGUGAUGCAUGCCUAAUGGUGGUUGUUUAGUGUUAGUUUGGGCAUGUUGGAACUAAGCAAUUGUCGAUGCCAUACGCUAGAAGUGAAGAAUGUUGUUACCGUUAGGAGUAGAGGUGUCAAUGGGGUCUGAUACCCGUUAAGCCAUGGAGAAUUUAUCUAAUAGAUUUAGGGUAUGGGAAGAUUUUAAUUUCCAUUUGUUGAAGUUAGGUAUACAUCUAUUUGAAUCGACAGUUACAAUUCAAUGUUUGUCAUUAAAUAUUCCACACAUGUAUUUUUUACAAGAACCCAAAUUUUGUAGACAAAUGCAGCAUUGUAGACAUGUAGAAUUCUUUGAAGCCCGUGAACUUAACAACACCAAGGUCAUUAAAUCAACUGGACCCUAUGAGUAACAAUUUCGAUAUUGCAAACACCAAAUUAUAGAACUUAUUGGCUGAAAAGUUAUGAGCAAUGUGAAGUUUAAAUUAUUAUACCAUAAAUAUAUCAAAGAACUUUUUUGAGGAACGUAAAAUUGCAUGGAAUGGGCUACCCAACGUGCAAGCUCACUUCUAUGCUAGGUAGCAUUACCAAAGAUAGGAAUGUUGCUGAUGAACGCCAAACUGAAAGUUCCCUUUGCUCGGGAACAGGAUCUGGAUGUCGCCUAGAGGGGGGUGAAUAGGCGAAUAAUAAUUAUCACUUUGAAGACUUAAAUUCUUACUCUACUUGAAGACCAGAUCGUAGUGGAAUGAAAGACCCUUCGAGUCGGUUGCAGCGGAAUAGAAGAUCCUGUCUCAAAAUGCCCUGCACUUCAAAUAUAACUUGAACCACAGAUAAGUAUUGAAGUGUAGAUAUAAAGAGUAGAUAAGACAGAGGAUCAACACACAACACAGAGCAGAGCACAUAGACGCAGGAUUUUAUCCCGAGGUUCGGCCAAGCCUGAGAUGCUUGCCUAGUCCUCGUUGGAGUUAGCCACACCUGGGCUUGGAGUCUAUUUCAACUCCUUCCUCCGUUUGCUCAGAUCUAUCAGUAUGACAGAUAGAGCCUUUCACUAUGUUGAGUUCGGUUACAACAACGCCGUGGCUGCUUACAGUCUUCUUGACAGCACUCCGGUAGAGUAACAAUGCGCUCAAGACUUUGCUCUAGCUCUUUGCAGCACCUCUCCACUCUCUAAAGGCUUAUAACUUUGCCUUCACACAAACUAGAGAGAUAUACAUUAGAGUGAGAGAGAGAAUCGAUCUGAGUGAUGUAUACAAUUGUUGGUUGCACUUGUGUGCUUGUUGGAGGCGCCUAGGAGUCCCUUUUAUAGACCCAAGGGGCCUAGGAGCCGUUGGAAUUCAUUUUGGAAGACAAUAUUUGCUUUCUAUCGGGUAGCAUGUCCAGUGCACGAUCUCCUUCCAAAACAAGCUCAACUGACCAUUGGAGCAACGUUUGACUUGGCUCACCGGACACUGUCCGGUGCACACCGGACAGUCCGGUGCGCCAACUAUCCGUUGGCCCAAGCCACACGUCGCCCGCUGAUCGCGCUGCCGACCGUUGGCUCACCGGACAGUCCGGUGAAUUAUAGCCGUACGUCACCAAACUUCUCCCGAGAGCGGCCUGUUCACCGGAGUUCAGUCUGGCGCACCGGACACAGUCCGGUGUGCCAGACUGAGCAGAGACAUGGUUGUACAUAGCCAAGUCUUUUGCAUCUCUUUUCUUUUCUUCUUUUCUCUGUUUCUAACACUUAGACAAAUAUAUUAGUACACACAAACCAAUGUACUAAGUCUAGAAACAUACCUUCUCUUUGAUUUUCACUUCUUCAGCAUUUGGCAUAAUUGAGAUUGAUGUUGGACUCAUAAAUCAUCAAGUCAACUUUACUUGAUCUAGAUUGACAUUUCUGAGCUCCAACAUCCUGCAAAGGUCACAUAGAAUAUCUUCAAACUAGGAACAACCCAAACUAGAGAUCAAGGUGCACUAAGCUCUUUUGGGCUUCUUCCAGUUAUGGUUUUGACACAGCUUCUCCUUUCAGUGACCUUGUUCACUUCUUGAGCUUGAUCUUGAGCCUUAUGACUUAAGCCACAUAAUUGUAGAUGUUACCUCAUUGGUUGUAAGUCAUGUCCUUAUGUAGUGUUCACUGAUGCACCAUAACUUUUCUUAACUCGAUCAACCUUGAUUCCGCAAGUCUUCUUCUUCACCCCUGGCCUUGGGUUCCUGGUCUCCUUGACUUUCUCCCAUGCACUCGGUACCUCGAAGCUCUUCUUGCUUCCAUCCUUGGCUUGAUCGGUUGUCUCUGAGUUAUGCACCUCGAGUCACACUUAAGCAAUGCCCAUCCUUCUUGUGAUGUCCAUUAUCUAUAAAUAGUUCAGUCUUUGGACCAUCACACUUGUUCACUUGUGUUGGACCAUAUUAGCUUUACAUAAAGCACCUAUUCAACACUUAGCACACUUGUUAGUCCUUUAAUUGGGUUGUCAUCUAAACACCAAAACUCACAAGAGAGCUUUCACAAACCCACUCAAAUAAUAUUUAGAUUUGGGUUGUUUAGUUGUAAAAGUGAAGACCCAAGAUAAAAGUACCAAUUGUCCAAUGACAUUCGAUUAUUUUGCUCGGGGAGCACUUGGUGCGUCAUUUGGACUCGUAUCUUAGUCCAAUAGAUUGCAUUUUCCUUCAAUGUGUAGAAUCUGACAAAGUGCAUGUUCUAAAAUUGUAAAUCUAACUAAAUUAGAAAGCUUGUUACUAAUUUGAUGGUUUAUUAGGUGUAGCUCAUAAAACUAGAACCAACAUAGCCUGCACUCACAUGUCAUAGAAAAUAGGAGUAUCCAAGCACAAUUUGUGUGAGCAUCCAUGACACAAAUUAUAUAUAGACUGAUAUAAUUAAUUCCUUAAAAAAAGAAAAAGGAAAAAAUAAAGUGGUUUUUGAUACUGCAGGAUAUCUCCUUUAGAUAAUGAGGAGUACUAAAAAGAUGUUGCACUUUUGGGUGGCGAGAAUUCCUCAAUCACAUAUAUAUCAUCAUAUCUUAAUUAUUAAAUUAAUAUGGUUCCAUCAUCGUAUUAUUAAUUCAAUUUGAUAUAACCAUCAUAUCUUAAUUAUUAAAUUAAUCUGGAGCGUAGAGUAGAUUAUCAAACCAAAUCAACCCGACAUAACCAUCGAAUGUUCUGCUAUGCACAAUAAGCGCAUGGUCCGGGGCUUAAUCAUCUGGAAUAACCAUCAGAUCUUCUAGUAUCUUCUAGUAAGCAUAGUAAGCGUAUGGUUCACGGCUUCGUCAUCCGGAAUAACCAUCAGAUUUUCCAGUAUGCACUGAAAGCAAAUGAUCUGGGGUUUUGGUAGGUGAAACGUUGUUAGGUGAAUGCGGAUGCUGGCUGCUGUUGCACGUGCGAACUGCUGUGUGCAAGUUGCUGGAUCCUCCUCUAUUGUGCGUGGCUUGUGGCGGGCUUGGACUACUCUCAUGGCUUCGGCUCUUGGAACUGCUCGUCCGUCCUGCCCUGCGUGCAUCUCUCUCUCUCCUGGCUGGAGGCGUGCUGGCCUAGUGGCUUCUCUGUGUUUUUCUUUUUACGGCGGCUUCUCAUGUUGGCUAGGGUUGGCGUCAGGGGCCCGGUCAGCUAUGCUCCCUCAGCUUUUAUAGGCAACGCACCACAGCAGGAAGAGCAGAGAUAAAGAUUCCAAGUGCAUCCAUCUACAAACAAGGCUCUCGGUGGAAGGGAUAAAAGCAUGCAGCGCAAUUGCCGCUGCCCUGCUGCAGCCUUGACUCUCGUCAAUUGGAUGACCAAAAGAUGCCACCGUCUAAGCUCUUUUCUUUUGUGCAGCUGCCUGUUUGUCACCAACACAAAAUUGUAGGUGCCUGUUUGUCACCAAUUAUCCUCUACCACAAAGAACAACAAUAGUGAUGGAGGAUCCGAUCCGGCGCAGAUCCACUAUAAUGCAUAGUGGGUGAUGCAUGCCUAAUGGUGGUUGUUUAGUGUUAGUUUGGUCAUGUUGGAACUAAGCAAUUGUCGAUGCCAUACACUAGAAGUGAAGAAUGUUGUUAGCGUUAGGAGUAGACGUGUCAAUGGGGACCGAUACCCGUUAAGCCAUGGAGAAUUUCUCUAUAAGAUUUAGGGUAUGGGAAGAUUUUAAUUUCCAUUUGCUGAAGUUAGGUAUACAUCUAUUUGAACCAACAAUUACAGUUCAACAGAAACUCCUUCCGCUCUAGUUUGUUGUGUGUCCUACCUUUUUCCUAAACUAGUUUUUCCUAAAUUGACAUACUCUCUAGAAAAUCUAUCCAAAUUUUGAAGAUCAAAUCUGUUCCAUUGAAUUAUUCAUGACAUAUAUCUUGGUAUUGCUUUUUGUCAUCAGAAUAUAUUUUGAACUCAUUAAAAGUUAUACACGAUUUUUUUAGACAAUACUAAAGCAAGAUGUAAUUAAGAACACUUGAGGUGUGCGCCAAUUGCCACAUUUAGAUAUAAUCAUUCAAAUUUUGGUCAUCAUAUGUGUGUGCAUUGAUCUAUGCAUUCUAGGAUUUCAAUUAGUCUCAAUCUUGUAGUAUUUGUUCCUUCAUUGUCAAAUCACUUCUCAUCUAACUACUAUGCUUGUUUAACCAUCAGAACAUAACUACAACAAUAUCCAUUUAUAAAGGUUUUGAUAGCAAACUUUACAUAUUCAUAUCAUGUUAAGGUUGUCACAUGUGUAAAGGUGAAGAGAUCAUGCAUGUCAUUCCACGUAGAUGAAAAGAAUUCCUAUAUAAAAUGACACCUUUUCUUGUAGGUAGUGGAAAGUAUCUUUCCAGCAAAGACCAUAUAAUCCGAUAAAGUUGAUAACUAAAUGUCAAAAUAGAGUAGAUGCCAUAUCAUCUAUACCUUAUCUGUUGUUUGGAAAAAGACUAAAUCCAAAAAAUAUAUAUGAGAUCUCACUUGUAUAAAUAGCUCCCAAAUCAGUAGUUAACCAUCACCCAUAAUAUUUUGAGCAUUCAGAAACACACCUAGCGAAGCGCACUAGCAACGACCUAACAACAAUGGCUACCAAGAUAUUAUCCCUCUUUGCGCUUCUUGCCCUUUUUGUGAGCGCAACAAAUGCGUUCAUUAUUCCACAAUGCUCACUUGCUCCUAGUGCCAUUAUUCCACAGUUCCUCCCUCCAGUUACUUCAAUGGGCUUCGAACACCCAGCUGUGCAAGCCUACAGGCUACAACAAGCGCUUGCGGCGAGCGUCUUACAACAACCAAUUGCCCAAUUACAACAACAAUCCUUGGCACAUCUAACCAUACAAACCAUCGCAACGCAACAGCAACAACAAUUUCUACCAGCACUGAGCCAACUAGCUGUGGUGAACCCUGUCGCCUACUUGCAACAGCAGUUGCUUGCAUCCAACCCACUUGCUCUGGCAAACAUAGUUGCAUACCAACAACAACAACAAUUGCAACAGUUUCUACCAGCGCUCAGUCAACUAGCCAUGGUGAACCCUGCCGCCUACCUACAACAGCAACAACUGAUUUCAUCUAGCCCUCUCGCUGUGGUUAAUGCACCUACAUACCUGCAACAACAGUUGCUGCAACAGAUUGUACCAGCUCUGACUCAGCUAGCUGUGGCAAACCCUGCUGCCUACUUGCAACAGCUGCUUCCAUUCAACCAACUGACUGUGUCGAACUCUGCUGCGUACCUACAACAGCGACAACAGUUACUUAAUCCACUAGCGGUGGCUAACCCAUUGGUCGUUGCCUUCCUACAGCAGCAACAAUUGCUGCCAUACAACCAGUUCUCUUUGAUGAACCCUGCCUUGUUGUGGCAGCAACCCAUCGUUGGAGGUGCCAUCUUUUAGAUUACAUAUGAGAUGUACUCGAUAAUGGUGCCCUCAUAGCGGCAUGUGUUUCCUAGAAAUAAUCAAUAUAUUGAUUGAGAUUUAUCUCGAUAUAUUUCUAAACUAUGUUCAUCAUAUAAAUAAUUGAUAAUUGAAAACAUCAAAUCGUAAUUAUAAACUUAUGCUUGGUCGAUACAUAAACAAUAAAAUAUUACUUCAUCAUCCCAAUGAUGUCCUAGCCCAACCUCUUGAAUGUUAUAGUUUGGGUGUGUGCGGGUGUAUUUAUAAGAUAGAUGUGACUAUUUGCGCUUUUUGUUGAGUACAUACAUAUAUGGUAUGUUGAUUUGAUAUAGUGAUGGACACAUGCUUUGACCAUGAAUAUUCAAAUCGGUUGUACUUGCACGAAGCAAAACAUAAUAUUAGUUUAGGAGUAAACUUAUAACUGCGUCCAAACAUGCUCACACAAAUUCAUACCACAUUAUAAUUUUUUGGUAAGUAUUCCACACAUAUUUUUUUACAAGAACCCAAAUUUUGCACACAAAUGUACCAUUCUAGACAUGUAUAAUUCUUUGAAGCCCGUGAACUUAACAGCACCAAGGUCAUUAAAUCAAUUGGACCCUAUGAGUAACAAUUUCGAUAUCGCAAACACCAAAUUAUGGAACUUAUUGGCUGAAAAAAUUAUGAUCAAUGUAAAGUUUAAAUUAUUAUACCAAAAAUAUAUCAAAGAACUUUUUUGAGGAACGUAAAAAUUGCAUGGAAUGGGCUGCCUAACGUGCUAGCUCACUUUUAUGCUAGGUAGCAUUACUAAAGAUGGGAAUGUUGUUGAUGAACGCCAAACCCACUCAAAUAAUAUUUAUAUUUGGGUUGUUUAGUUGUAAAAGUGAAGAUCCAAGAUUAAAAUACCAAUUGGCCAAUGCCAUUCGAUUGUUUUGUUUAGAGAGCACUUGGUGCGUCAUUUGGACUCGUAUCUUAGUCCAAUAGAUUGCUUUUUAUUUCAAUGUGUAGAAUCCGACAAAGUGCAUGUUCUAAAAUUGUAAAUCUAACUAAAUUAGAAAGCUUGUUACUAAUUCGAUGGUUUAUUACGUGUAGCUCAUAAAACUAGAACCAACAUAGGCUGCACUCACAUGUCAUAGAAAAUAGGAGUAUCCAAGCACAAUUUGUGUGAGCAUCCAUGACACAAAUCAUAUAUAGACUGAUACAAUUAAUUCCUUCAAGAAUAAAAAAGGAAAAAAUAAAGUGUUUUUGGAUACUGCUGGAUAUCUCCUUUAGCUAAUCAUGAGUACUAAAAAGAUGUUGCACUUUUGGGUGGCGAGAAUUCCUCAAUCAUAACUUUGACAUAAUUUUAAUCCAGAUCACAUAUAUAUAUCAUCAUAUCUUAAUUAUUAAAUUAAUAUGGUAUGCAUCAUUGGAUUAUUAACUCAAUCCGGUAUAACCAUCGGAUCUUAAUUAUUAGAUUAAUCUGAAGCGUACAUUAGAUUAUCAAACCAAAUCAACCCGAUAUAACCAUCGAAUGUUCCUCUAUGCACCUUAAGCGCAUGGUCUCAGGCUUAAUCAUCCGGAAUAACCAUCUAAUCUUCUGGUAAGCAUAGUAAGUGUAUGGUUCACGGUUUCGUCAUUCGGAAUAACCAUCAGAUUUUCCAAUAUGCACUGAAAGUGUAUGAUCCGGGGUUUUGGCAGGCGAAACGUUGUUACGUGAUUGUGAAUGCUAGCUGCAGUUGCACGUGUGAUCUACUGUGUGGAAGCUGCUGGGUCCUCGUCUGUUGCGUGUGGCUUGUGGCGGGCUUGGACUGCUCUCAUGGCUUCGGUGCUUGGUGCUGCUCGUUCGUCCGGUCCUACGUGCAUCUCUCUCUCCUGGUUGGAGGCGUGGUGGCCUGGCGGUUUCUCUAUGUUUUUCUUUUUGCUACGGCUUCUCGUGUUGGCUUGGCUUGGCGUCAGGGUCCCGGUCAGCUAUGCUCCCUCAGCUUUUAUAGGUACGCAGCACAACAGGCAGAGCAGAGAUAAAGAUUCCAACGGCAUCCAUCUACAAACAAGGCUCUCGGCAGAAGGGAUAAAAGCAUGCAGCGCAAUUGUCGCUGCCUUGCUGGAGCCUUGACUCUCGUCAAUUGGUUGAUCAAAAGUGGCCACUGUCUAAGCUAUUUUCUUUGUGCACCUGUUUGUUUGUAUCGAACACAAAAUUGUAGGUGCAUGUUUGUCACCAAUUAUCCUCUACUACAAAGAACUACAAUAGUGAUGGAGGAUCCGAUCCGGCACAAAUCCACUAUAAUGCAUAGUGGGUGAUGCAUGCCUAAUGGUGGUUGUUUAGUAUUAGUUUGGGCAUGUUAAAACUAAGCAAUUGUCGAUGUCAUACACUAGAAGUGAAGAAUGUUGUUAGCGUUAGUAGUAGAGGUGUCAAAUGGGACCGAUACCCGUUCAGCCAAGGAGAAUUUCUCUAUUAGAUUUAGGGUAUGGGAAGAUUUUAGUUUCCAUUUGCUGAUUUUAGGCAUACAUCUAUUUGAUUCAACAGUUACAAAUCAACAUAUACUCCUUCCGCUCUAGUUUGUUGCAUGUCCUACCUUUUUCCUAAAUCAGUUUUUCCUAAAAUGACAUACUCUCUAGAAAAUCUAUCCAAAUUUUGAAGAUCAAAUAUGUCCCAUUGAAUUAUUCAUAACAUAUAUCUUGGUAUUGCUUUUUGUCAUCAGAAUAUAUUUUGAACUCAGUAAAAGUUAUACACGAUUCUUUUUAGACAAUACUAAAGCAAGUUGUAAUCAAGAACACUUGAGGUGUGCGCCAAUUGCCACAUUUAGAUAUAAUCAUUCUAAUUUUGGUCAUCCUAUGUGUGUGCAUUCAUCUAUGCAUUCUAGGAUUUCAAUUAGUCUCAAUCUUGUAGUAUUUGUUCCUUCAUUGUCAAAUCACUUCUCAUCUAACUACUAUGCUUGUUUAACCAUCAGAACAUAAGUACAACAAUAUCCAUUUAUAAAGGCUUUUAUAGCAAACUUUACAUAUCAUAUUAUGUUAAGGUUGUCACAUGUGUAAAGGUGAAGAGAUCAUGCAUUUCAUUCCACGUAGAUAAAAAGAGUUCCUAUAUAAGAAUGGCACAUUUUCUUGUAGGUAGUGGAAAGUAUCUUUCCAGCAAAUACCAUAUAAUCCGAUAAAGAUGAUAACUAAAUGUCGAAAUCGAGUAGAUGCCAUAUCAUCUAUAUCUUAUCUGUUGUUUGGAAAAAAAGACAAAAUCCAACAAAAAUAUUCGAGACCUCACCUAUAUAAAUAGCUCCCAUAUCAGUAGUUAAUCCAUCACCCAUAAUAUUUUGAGCAUUCAGAAACACACCAAGCGAAGCUCACUAGCAACGACCUAACAACAAUGGCUACCAAGAUAUUAGCCCUCCUUGCGCUUCUUGCCCUUUUUGUGAGCGCAACAAAUGCGUUCAUUAUUCCACAAUGCUCACUUGCUCCUAGUGCCAUUAUUCCACAGUUCCUCCCACCAGUUACUUCAAUGGGCUUCGAACACCUAGCUGUGCAAGCCUACAUGCUACAACAAGCGCUUGCGGCGAGCGUCUUACAACAACCAAUUGACCAAUUGCAACAACAAUCCUUGGCACAUC